rnacentral:lncRNA from 1 species
AACAUAAGAACUAUCAGAAUGACCAGAUGAGACCAAAAUUAUGCCACAUAAAUAAACAUGUUUUUGUUAGAAAUAAUUGACGAGAGAAAAUGUAAUUACAAAAGAAAGAUCAAAGGCUUACAAGUUAGUAUACUCCUAAAAACUGUAUGCUUGCCUGCCAAAAUCAGUACAAUCUAGGCUUUUUCUGUACCAAUAUACGCACCGCCUUUCAAAAGACUAAACAAUAUCUGGAUCACGUCAACUUUUCACUCUGUGCACACCCGCGUUACCCAAAGGGGACUACAGAAGUAUGUCUAACAAAACUCGAGUAAGUAUCAAGUCAAAUACAUUGGGAAAAAACAGGAUGCUACUCCACUGAACUAUACACAUAUCAGCCAGGAUUCAGCCUGCAUUUCACCUCAUGAGAUCAGCUUGUGUAUCGCCUCAUGUAUAGUGUAGAAGAGAUUAGUUCCUUAUGAAUUUUAUAUUUGUCAGGUGAACAAAGCCAUACAUUUCUCAUUUCAAUGGUGAGUAAUUUUCUUUUAGUACCUACAAUGGCAGAAAGUAUUCCGUAAGUAUGCCAAGUAUAUAUAACAAAAUGAGUACACGAGGAGAGAAGUGUAUAAUCAAAGGGAGCACAUAACAAAUGAGAAUCAUCUUCUUCAUGCUGUUUUACGCAUAUGGAGUUCAUGAGCAGGAAUACAAAACGGGCUGAUUUUCACUGAACUUGUGUGGAAUCACAUAUUUUGAAAUGGCAAUAAGACAUGGCCCACUACUUGAAACUGUAAUCAAUAUUCUUCAGACACCACACUGAGUCUUUCAGCAACCAUACAGAGUUCAAACAAACAGAAUAUUACCUAUCUAUUUCAAGGAUUGCCUAUUUUCUUCAGCAAGCCAUACAGAGUUGAAACAGACAGAAUAUUACCUAUCUAGUUCAGGGAUUGCCUAUUUUCUAUCUAGUUCAAUCAUGCGAUUUCCUUAACUUUACUGCCGACUCUUGGUAACAUAAAUAUAACAGUAGUGAUCCGUGAUGAAAAACAGACAAUGUCAAUGGUUAACCAAUUAAUAAACCCCUUCACAGUUCAAAGACCACGUUCCCUUAGGACGAAAUAGAGAAUAGGAAAUUUAUUCAAAACCAAUUCUGCAGUACUAAUACGUGAUGGAGAACAACUAUUGUCAAUGUGUCAACAAUUAAAUAAAUUCACAUGUGUUUUUCACCCAGAGAAUCCAAGACAGGAGCAACAAGUCAAGCAGCAUGCACCAAUGGAGUAAUUAGAUUAGGAUUGAGAAAUAUUAGUUACUUAUCCGGGAAGCUGUCCACCUUUUGAUGGCUUUUCCGUUCAAAUAAAGAUGGCUCUUGCUAGCCACUGUGUUUUCACCCUCACGCUAUAUCGCAAAUCUUCUCAUUUUCAGUGGACUUCAACUAGACAAAAGCGAUCUUUCAUAGGAUUAUUGCAUACAAGUAAAUUUUGAUGUCCUAAGCAGAGAAAUACACAGGUAGGCGGUCACUUAUCACAGGUCGAAGUUAUUUUUUUUGGAAUCAAGAGUAUGUUUUGAUUCAGUUCACCAGCAUCAAGUAUGAGAUUAUUGGUCAACUAUACUUGCAACUAAAGUGGCUCCUAAUUUGCAAUUCUAACUAUUGAUCAACUACAACACGUGAGCACAUGCACAGCUGUAUUUGAGUUCCUUGCAGAUUGCAAAAGGAAACACAGACAAGCAAAUAUAACUGGGCCUUUAUUUACAUUGAUUAUUAAAGAACUAAUACCUGUGCACUAUAAAGAAAUCAAACUGGAACUUGGUCGUAGCAUCAAUGAUUUGGGCUCUAAACAAAUUUGGCAGACAACAAGUGGAAUUGUAAUUGCCCAAGUAAAGGCUAAACAUGCUGCACCGCCGCUCUUCCUCAGUCAUCAAUAAUUCCUGGUUGUGCUCCUGCCUACCAAUAGCUAGUAGUGAUCAACAAGCCAAGAGAACACUAGUGCAGAACCGGGCAAUAGCACCGGUUCGUAAGGCCCUUUAGUGCCGGUUCAGGAACCGGCACUAAAGUUUCGGCACUAAAGCCCCCCCCCCCUUUAGUACCGGUUCAGCACGAACCGGUGCUAAAGGGGAACCACGUGGCACGAGCCAGCUCCGGGGGCCGGGAGCCCUUUAGUACCGGUUGGUAACACCAACCGGUACUAAAUGGUUGUGGGUUUUUGUUUUAUUUUGUAUUUUUCAAUUAAAUUUGUGGUAUCAAUUUAAUUUAGGAUUGUUUUACAUUAUAAUGAGUUGUAGUCAUCAUCAUCAUCAUCAUCAUCGCAUAUUAAUAAAUAAAUAAACUCUAGCUAGCUAAAAAUAAUCAUAGUCGUCUAGUUACCACUAUUUAAUCAUCAUAGUCAUUACUGCUAGCUAUCUAAUCAUCAUCAACGCUGGCUAGCUUAAAGAGGAAACAUUCACUUUGUAACAGAAGCAAAGAUAUCAUCAAGUUCAACAUAAUCAUCACCAACAUCGAAGUUCAGGACAGGGACAUGAGACAAGUACUAAUUAAGAGCAUGAACUAGUAGCUACUCAUCCUGCUGCUCCCUCUCAGGUAGAAUAGCAUAGAACAUGUAUAGCUCUCCUGAUUCAUCAUACUGGAGCAUGUAGAUGAAUCUGUCUCCUAAUCUUGGGUUGCGCUUCUCCUUGCUGCCCCUAGUACUUCUCUGUGAUCGUUAAUAAUUUUGCUCCAAUCUUUCACUAUUAAGCAUUCUUCGCUUUCAGAAAUCCUGAAUGCACUCAUGUGCAAUGUAGGAAAUCUUGGUCGUAAGCUAACCAUUGACAUGCGACCUUUUGUCUCGAUCCACUGAGGCACAACUGUCAUCGGAAGUCCCUGUUGAAGAACAUCGUAUAGUAAUUAAUAUACUAAGCUAUGAAAGUUUAGCUUCAAAAAUAAUGUAUGCAAAAGAUGCACUAAUUAAGGACAAAUAUUUAAAAUCUUACCAUCUUUCAAUUAUAGAUGUGACCGUAGUUCAAUACGAUCACCAUUGGUCGCACAUUUUGAGUACUAACAUUUCUAAGUUUAGAAAAAAAAUUGUCUUCACAGUAUUAAGAUCCUCAAGCCAUGAAACAUAAUGACUUAUCUCCUCGCAGUUUAGUUGAGCCCCGGGGCAGUAGUAGGUCCUGUCUACCAAGCGCUGGACAUGUUUGCUUGAACCGAAAUAAGCUGACAAUAGAAAUUAGUUGUCAACCAUUUUUGAAUAAACUGUAUGAAAGACAUAAACAUAUGCAUGCAUGGUUGAGAAAAACUCACCAAAUGGUAGAACUGGAGGCGUUUGCACAUCGACCCAGAUGUCUAUAUUACCUUCAAUAUUAUCUUCCGGAUGAAUAUCAAAGGUGAUAACCAUAUCAGGCUCAAAUGCAUAAGCCUUGCAUAGUGCUUGCCAAGUUUUGCAUUCAAAAUGGGUGUAUGUGUCUCCAUUAUAUAAUUUGACGUUGAAAGUAUACCCAUGCUCCGUCUUCAAGUAAACUCUCUUUACCUCCAUAUCAUCUAUAGCACUAAAACCUAUCUUAUCCAAGACAAAAAUUCUUGCAUGGCAGGGGAUGCGCUAGUAGAAUAGUGAAAAUUUAAAAUUAUAAGUUGAAGCAAAUGAAGCAUAAGUUUUGCAUUCAAAUAAUAAUUGAUAGAGUGACUUACUGUAUCAACUUCGAAUGUCUCAUCCAGCUUGAUGCUGAAGCGCCUACCAUCAAUAAGGAAAUUUUGGUCGCACAGGCCGCGCUGAUCUUCACAGUGUUCGCACAUAAUGAAAUCUUUUUCGUCGUCAGAUGACAUUUCCUAUGUUCAUAUAGGUGAAACAUUAAACACCUAUAUCUAGCCAAAUAUAUAUUCAUCUAACAUUUGACAUUAAUAUAUCUAACUAUAUUCAUCUCUAACAAUUGGCAUUACUAUAUAUUUAACUUUUCUAUCGAAUUCAUCUAACAUUCGACAUUAAUGUAANNNNNNNNNNNNNNNNNNNNNNNNNNNNNNNNNNNNNNNNNNNNNNNNNNNNNNNNNNNNNNNNNNNNNNNNNNNNNNNNNNNNNNNNNNNNNNNNNNNNNNNNNNNNNNNNNNNNNNNNNNNNNNNNNNNNNNNNNNNNNNNNNNNNNNNNNNNNNNNNNNNNNNNNNNNNNNNNNNNNNNNNNNNNNNNNNNNNNNNNNNNNNNNNNNNNNNNNNNNNNNNNNNNNNNNNNNNNNNNNNNNNNNNNNNNNNNNNNNNNNNNNNNNNNNNUCAAAUCUCAUAUACCUAAAUAAACUAGUUCGACAAUUUUCUUACUAAAAAUAAACUAGUUAUAUUAAUUAUUCAACUAGUUCAAAUCUCAUAUACCUAAUUAAUAUCUAGCUAUAUUCAUCUCUAACAAUUGACAUUAAUAUAUAUUUAACUUUUCUAUCUAAUUCAUCUAACAUUCGACAUUAAUCUAAUAUUCAAUCAUCUAAUUAACUUUUCUAAAAAACAGAAAACAGAAAAUAUGUAAAAAAAUGUGUGUGUGUGUGCAUGUGUGUGUAUGUAUGUGUGUGUAUGUGUGUGAGUAUACUGCAGUGCCGCCCCGUACGCCGCCGCCCCGUACGUACGAGCGGGGACGCCGGCGUACGGGGCGGGGGCGGCGGCGUAUGUAUGGGCCGGUGCGCGCGGCGCGGGUGCGAGAGAGACGUACGGCCGCGGCGAUGACGACGGACGGCGGCGGUGUUCGGGGCGGCAGCGCGAGAUGACGGCGACGACAACGGACGGCGGCGGGGACAGGGACGAUGACGACGGACGACGGGCGACGGGCGGCGACGACGGGAUCGAGCGGCGCGCGCGGCGAUGUCUCGCGAGAGGUUGGAGACGAAGUGGAGAGAUGAAACUGAAAUUUUCGUAAGUGCUAUAUAUAUAGGAUGGGCCUUUAGUACCGGUUCGUGGCUCCAACCGGUACUAAAGGCCUAUUUUCGCCAGGCCAAGCGGCGGGAAACGAAGGCUUUUAGUACCGGUUGGAGCCACCAACCGGUACUAAAGGGGGGGGGGCUUUAGUACCGGUUGGAGCCACCAACCGGUACUAAAGGCCUUGCGCUGCCAUCCCAAAGUUUAGUCCCACCUCGCCCAGCGAAGGGCAGCCGCACUGGUUUAUAAACCCAGCUGCGGCUACCUCUUCGAACUCCUUUAUAUAGAGCAGGCUUCUCGGCCUAAUUAAUUAAGGCGCGCUAUCCUGUGAGUCUGCUGGCCCUUCUGGGGAUCAGGUACGAGUUAAGGUAUGGAACCUGUCCAUAAAGGACUAGUAUUUUAAAUUUUCUUUUGAGGAUCUGGGGUAGUUUUUUUAAGCUUACGUAACUCCUGAAAUUACAAGAAGAGGAUUUCGUCAUAAUACAGGACUUUCAUGGGAAAUAAGAACUUGAUGAUGCAAACAAAGAAGUUGUUUCAGUUUCAUCGACUAGUAUUUGACAAAUGACUGUGUUCAUGGUGCAAUUAGACCAAUAUACAUUAGAUUUGCACACCAAGAGAUUCAGUAACAGUAUUCUGUUCAUCCAAUCUGGAUCGCCAUUAGUUUGAGGGCUACAAUAGCUUUGUUUAUCUCUUACCAGCUCAGUGCAAAUAUUGUAUCCCAACAGAUGUUGAAUGAAUUUUCCAAAUAAAAGUUUGGUUGCUACAAACAUAUUCAUUUUGAGAUUUCAGAUGAAAGGCAGCUUCGACGGUGUCUUGGCACUUCCUCAAUAACGCUUCCUCGACCGGCCAGCGAAGACGGCGUCUUGCCGGUUUCCUGAUCCGCCACUAGAGACGACAUGACGGUGCAUCCUCGACCCGCUAGCGGUAACUGCGUCUUGCCGGUCUCCCGAUCCGCCACCGGAGACAGCAUGACGACACUUGCUUGACCCGCUAGCAGCGACGGCGCCUUGCCAGUUUCCCGACCCGCCAUCGGAGAUGGCAUUACGGCGCUUCCUCGACCUGUUAGCGGAGACGGCAUCUUGGCGGUUCCUCGAUCCGCCAGCGGAGAGGGCAAGACGGUGCUUCCUCGACCCGCCAGCGGCGACAGCCUCCGCAUCCUCUGAUUCUUCCGUCGAUGAGGAAUCGGUCAAAACGUGUGGGUUCUUCGUCGAUCUGGCCGUCGUCGAUCCGCCAUCGGAGAGGCCUUGUUGGAGCUUCCAUGAUCCGGACCCAUUUUUUGACAUGUCCGCCUUGACAUUUCGUCAAACACGUAGCAGGUCGGCCGGUGCGCCCAACGAGUGCUGCCUAUGCUCGGUCGCCGUUGCUCCCGCCCCACAGCUCCGCCCUGCUACUCGCCCGGCAGCAGCAGCUCGGUUGAGAGAAGCCGCCCGCGCCCGCCUCUGCGAUGCUCUCAGUCCGCACUAAAGCUCGUGCCCGCUCGUCGUGCUCUCGCUCGUGCGGCCACUCCUCAUGCUCCUGCUCGUGCCCGCCAAUGCUUGCGCCACCUAGUCCGUCUUUGGGUGUCAAGGUCACGUCCUGCUGCCCGGAGCUCUGAGCUCGCGUCACCGUGCCGCCGGGCCCAGCCGCCAUGCUCGUCGGCGCCCCGAGCGCAAGUAGCCGAGCGCGAGGCACCGCCCCGCGCCCGCGGCUGUGACCGCACGCCCGAUCUCGCGCUGACCUGCAGGAGCACCGAUGUCGCAUGGCGCCGGCGGUGCCGACGGCAGUGAACGCGGGGAGCAUGGCGGGGCGUCACGGCGAGCAUGCUCGUCGGCUGGGGAUGUACGAGGCGCGGCAUGGCGACGGCGGGGUUGAGCAUGGCGCCGACGGGGAUCUAUAAGGCGCGGACGGGGAUGGGUAAGACGGUUUGGUUGUUUAAUUUACAUAGUUGAAUCUCCAUGGUUAUCGUUUGAACAAAAGCGACAUAAUUACGUUGGACCUACUCUAGCUGGCGUGGACGAACCCUUCAUGGAUUGUUCGGUAAGAUGAAAGAUGCUGAUCUCACCCCAUCUCAAGAUCGGAAUGUGAGAUCGAGACUGAUAUAGAUCGAACGUCUCAUCAACCCAUACCAUGAGUACUUAUGUUUCGAGACAAGUGUAUAACCUAAUAGUUUUAAAGUGAGGGUUGCAUGAGGUUUAUGUGAGCUGUAGUUCAAAAUUGGCCAAUUUUUUGCUGUUUUGACCAACAUUUGACCAAGGCACAAAUAUUUGACAUAUCCCAACCUAAGUGUAGAUCCAUGAUGGAACAACAGUUCCUAACACAAUAAAUCUCAAAACUAAAUUGGUUUGGUUGUUUAAUUUACAUAUUUGAAUCUCUAUAUGGCUAUCAUUUUAACAAACCCGACAUAAUUAUGUUGGACCUACUCUGGCAUGGACAAACUCUCCAAGAAUUGUCCGGUAAAAUGAAAGAUGCUGAGAUCAGCCCAUCUCAAGAUCGGAAUAUGAGAUCGACACUGACAUAGAUCGACCGUCUCAUCAACCCACCCCAUCAAUAUUUUUGCUGCUUUGACCAACGGCUGACCAAGGCAUACAUUUUUUAUAUUUCCCAACCCAAGUGUAGAUCGAUGAUGAAACAACACUUUUCUAAUUGGCUGUGGGUGGUUGGCGGGUCGGGGUUGCGGCGGAGGGGUUGAAGCACCGUGGUACAUCACCUACCCAGUCUGUGCACUGGUCGACGGCGACGACGUCCGUGGACGUCGUGUUCCUCCUUGCAGGCUCCGCUGUGGUGCUCCCACUCCUGCCGUCUUACUCCGGGUGAAAACUUGAUCUUCGGAUCGGACGGUGAAAACGUUCAUGGCCGUGCCCUUCCUGAAGGCGUCGUCUUGGAGUCCUUGGUCCAGCGUGUCCGUCGCACAUCUUCGCGGAUAAUCACUCCUCGUGCUGGUGGUCUCCAUCGGCUCUAAGCGGAUUCGUUUUUUGCACAUCUUAUAGGUGCUUGGUAGUCAUUGAGGUUGUGUGUCGGUGCCCGACAUUCAUGUAUCCUGUCUUGGGUGUGUGUGGCAUGUGUUUGUAUCGGUUGCUUCGAUGUAUGUGAUGGUUGCUUUAUACUAAAGCGGGAAAACUCUUUUUAGUUCGUUAAUUGGCUUUCUCAAAUGGCGAUGACUAUACAAAUAUCGACGACAAGAACGUUACGGGAGAGGGUGCCGGAUCGCCCCUCCAUAAUUCUUGGAUUUGGUGGGUUUGUAACCAUGAUAUAACUUUUACAAACAAAUUUUAGUAUUUCCUCUAUCUCAAAAUAGAUUUACAAACUAGAACAUUCCCUCAAAAAAUUAUUACUUUUUUAAAAUAAAAAUAAUUACUUCCCACCACCUAAUUUAGGUGUACCGUUGUUUGCGUCAAUAUUUUUUAACCUCUCGCUAAAAGGUCCUAAAUUAGCGUCUUUGUUCCCACCAAAAAAUAGCUUAUAUUAACCUUCCCCCUAAAUACCCUCCUAACAGAACCACUCCACGGCGUCUUCACGGGAGAUUGGAUCUGAGCUCUCGUCCGUGGUUCCUCUGUGCUGCCGACGUCAUGACGGCGUCAACACGGCGAACCACACCCGAGUUAGCUGCACGGCGUCAGGUCCCGAUCUCCUCCCUUCCUGGAACCUCCGCUCCUCGAUCUCGCCCUCCUCCCUCUCCUCUGCGCCCGCCGACGUGGGCCGCGUCUCCGUGUCCUCGGCCAUACCGGCGGCAGCAGCGAUGCGGUCUGGCGUCGGCGCCGACGGAGUUCCCGUCUCAUCCCCUUGCCCAUUAAUCUCGUGUCUGGACCAAGCACGACACCACCUCGGUGUUGCACGCCGCGACAAUGCCCGCCCGGGCUCAAACCCCCCUCCCCCACGAGCUCUUCCUCGACGUGCCGCUCUUUUCGUCCCUUCUCUCCUCCGCUCGCCGCUUGGUCGUAGAACUGGUCAGGGCAGGGGACAACAUGGCCGCCGCCAAGCAGCAGCCGCCGCUAUACAUUGCCGUCGCCGACGACCGCCAGAGGAGCACCUUCCCCUGCAUGCGCCCCAUCCUGCAGAGCGCGCUCCAGCUCAUGGGCUGCAAGCCACGCCACACCUUCAAGGUCUGUCUUCCCCCAUCUUGCUUGUCCCACAAUCUGUCAGCUCACUUCUUUUCCCUUGGGUUCAGUCUGAAUCUUUAGAUUAGACUCAGUAUCCUACCAUCUCUGCCGCAUCCCUGAACCUCCAUAGCAAGCGAUGUAGAUCAGUUUUUUUUGGUAUUCCAUACUCCUCAUAUCCUACUUCAAUUGGCUGAUGGGAUCAGUCUCAUAGUGUUUUUCGUUACAAUUAGCGAGCGCUGUACAUCUACCUCGUAUCCUGCUUCAAUUGGCUGAACCUACAGAGUGUAUUUAAUUAGUAUGAUGUUCACAGCAGGGGUGGAGCUACUAGGAGCCUCUGAUGCAUAGGCAUCAGGGUCGAUGUUGAUUUCUUCAAGCGAUUGUGUAGAGUUGUUUGGCCGUGCACCAGGUUAGGCUGACAGCGCUGCAUCAGGUACAGAGACAAUCCCAUGGCGGCCUUGUUCGGAACUGGUUCAUGGGUAGGCCAGGUCUUGUUCAGACGUGGCCAGGCCUUGGCGUAGCCUUGUGGGCUGUAGCCUUUUGGGUACGUUUGGUGUGGCUGGGCAUCAAGGCGUCAAUGCCCUUAGGUGUUGUAGGGUCACGCCGACACGCGAUCACUCGACGAACCACAUCGGAUGGGCGACGCUGCGCUAGGCUCGGUCUUUACACCUAGCAUCAUCCAUGCUAAUCCGAUCAGUCACUGACCUCAGCUCUAGCUCAAAGGUAGAGUAUGACAUAUAGAUGUAGUAAAUCUUAAAUCUCGGGUUAACCAUUGCAAAAAUUGUGCUUUUAGGCGGUAUCUUCUUAGAUUUUUUUUUAGUUCUACUAGCAUAAAUGCCCGUGCGUUGCAACGGGAGAAACAAACUCUCGCACACCCUAGCGAGCAAUCCAUGUUGUCACUUCUCCUCUUUGGCAUCAUUGUCGAUGGUGGUCACUUGUGUAACUAUUUACGAAAAAGGUUAUCAAUCCCUAUGCGGUGAGCUAGGUCAUUACACUCUACCAUGCCGAUUUCAUGAGUCCCUCCCUAUACUAACUUGCAAUUCUUUGUGCGUAGCAACCGUCACAUUCACUUCAUGUGGUUCAACACCAAUCAUGUCUUUACAUGUCAUGCGGUGCAUUUCCUUGUUUACCACACACAAUAAUAAUUUUAUUGACCACAGACAAUAAUAAUUAUUAGUGUAAAUAAUGUUAAGGUAUGAGGUUAUCAACUUGCCGACCGAACAUAAGCUGCAUACACCUUUUCUUUCUGCUCAUAUUUGUGAGCAAACUGGACCAACUUCUUGAGGCGGCUUAUUAAUUUCAGUUCAUAGACAUAUAUAAAUUGGUCCGUCGAGUUAUAAGAAAGCGAGUUGGGAUAAUUCAAUAACCGAACUAAUUAAUUUCUUUGUGUUAGUUAAUUGCAUGCCAUGUCUGGGUAAUUCCUUUGCGCAAUAUUUUUUAGAAAAAUCUCCUUCCUUAUCUGAUCACGCCCCGGUAGUAUUUCGUCUUAGGAUAUUCUCUUUCCUCAUCUGAUCACGCCACCAUGGUAUUCCUUCCUUUUUCCGAAACUCUCCUUUUCUUCUUUGUACCCACUGGUAUUAUAAUUCCUUAGGGUCAUUAUUAUUCUCUCCUUCCUUAUUUAAGCCCGCUGAUCACGUCACACAUUUAAGAACAAAAAAAAAAGAUCACGUCACACAUCCCAUCCCAUUAAAUCUAAGCCACAUAUGUCAGCCCACCUUUGUUUCGUACUUCUCAAGGCUGCUUACUGAUCUUGAAUCACAAACAAAUAUAAAUUGGGAGUAGAACAUGUAAAGCAGCGAGGUGGUACUAUUUAAUAAGGGAACAAUCCUGGUAUUUCACACAAUGAUGUCCUAGCAUGAUUGGUUGCGUCCUUUGGUCUUGACAUGCAACGUCUGGAGUUCGAUUGCUCGUGAAGACGCUUUUUUUUUGUCUGGGCUGGCUCCAUGUAAUAUUUCUGCCUAGGCCGAUUUUGUUGUUGUUAUGUGCUAGUAGAGUAGGCCCAAUAGCUAAAGCUCCGGCCAAGGCCCAGCGAGGCGAUCCAGAUGCAAAGUUGGAUCGAGACUUCUGUAAUUACCGUGACGGAACGUACGUGAACGUGAAAAUCAACAAAGCGAGCGUACGUGGAAAAAACUUUUAAGCGGGACGAAACCAAGAAUAUCACCUUCCUUUAAUAGUAGGUAUAGAUGUACAAGGGUAUUCUGAAGUUGAGAAUUCAGUUCAUUUACUUGACUUUAUCAAAUGUGGGUAGCCACAAGACUGGAGACGCGAGACUUUGUGUAUAGUCUAAUAAUGUUGCAAUAAGUCGCUCCAUCGUCGUAUUUUCCCUCCUUUUUGCAAUAAUUGUUCAUUCACAUUUUUUCAGAAAUUAUUGCCAAUGUACUAAGUCUUAUUCAGAGAUUGUCAAUAUUGUUGGGCGUGUCCUGCUCUCCCUCUUUUAUAUUUGGUUGUUUGGUCUCACACUGAAGGUGCUAGAUGUAAUGUGGACUCAGGGCCAGAACAGAGAAGAACCAGAGCAGCUAGACUCGGGUGUGUGUUCAAGGCAACAAAUGCCCUCUUUUCCACUGAACCACCAACACAUGCUAGCUCUGCUCUUUUGAUGUUCACUUACACAAAAAAAGACCACACUGUAUCCAUACCCGUGCAUGCACAAGCCCACACUGUACUACACUAUUUGGGUACACACUCAGUACAAUAUCUUCAGCUUCUACAAUGGCUUGUCUGACUGGUUAUAUUUGGUUUCAAUAAAUUGAUAGGAACGCAGCCAAAAGAACGCCGAUAACCAUAAGAAACAGAAGACAAAACAUAAAAUUGGAUCAAAAUCUUACUCGCAAGUAAGCUUUGAGAAGGUAUGAGUCUAACUAAAUAUGUAUGCCUCGCUGCUAAAUAUGGUUUCGUGUUUCAAGCAUCUCAUUGUUAUAUUACUUGCAGAGAAACUUGGAACUCACCCACACGAACGACGGAACAUGGUCUAACACAGAGUCCUAGAAAGUUUGCGUAAGUACACUGACUUUUGGUUAUUCUAUAGUUAUUUUAUAUAGUGUCAAUAUUGAUGCCGUACCUAUAAUUGUUAUUUUCAUUUUUAGAACAAAGCACGUCAAGAGGUUCAAAACAAAGAAACUGAAACUGAAGGUCCACUUUCAAGUGAGCAGAAAAACAAUAUUUUCCAGACCGCAUACAAAGAGACUCUGAAAUGCAAGUCAUCGCAGCCUUGUGGGUACGGAUACAUGGCCAAACCUUCAACUGGUUCUCAAAGGUUUCAUAUCCAGGUUGAAGAGCAAGCUCGUGCUACAGCAGCCACCCAACAGCAAAACUCUGAGCUCAGCCAGCAGGUCAACGAAUUACAAGAUCAACUACAAGCUGAACGUGCAAACACACAAGAGAGGAUUAACUUGGAGUGUACUGAGAGAGAACAACUUGAGGAGAGGUUAAAAGAAGGGCAUGCUGAAAGGGAAAGAUUGUUGGAAUAGGAGCGGACAUCAAGACCGGAAUUUGAAAAAAACAUGAUGCCAAAGUUUGUAGCAUUGAGCCAACAGAUGGGAACCCAACAGGUGAUUACAGUCAUAUGCUUGCGACCUUGUAAGAUUUAUGUUGCUUACUUGCAUUGCUAAAAGUGCACUUAUAUUUACAGGUGCCUAAGGAUUGACAAAGAAAAUAGUAACCCAAACUUGCAAAAUACACUUUUAUAGAGAUCUAGUCCUAAUAAGACUCCAGUUCAAGGCCAAUUAUUAUUUCUUCAAAUGCGCUCAUACAAGCUGCAACAAGGAAUUCUCGAAUGUUUAAAGCAAUGGUAAGUCACAACCUUACUUUUUCUUCAUGUUCACUUGCAUUUUAUACGUCAUUGGCAUUCAUAACUAGCUAGCUGUUUCUUCUCUUUCACCAUGUGUUGUUGCUGCAUCGAGUCACAACUUAAACAAAAAAUGAAUAUGUGCUAGCUAGGAACAUGAACUUAACUGAAACUAUACAUCGGGUCACAACUUAAAUCAGUAGCAGAACCUUUUAGUAGAUGUACUUGUGCUUAUGCUUUAGACAUUUACACUUGUAUGAUUGUUCUAAUCCCUCAGUUACAUGCUUGUUGACACAGUAUUAGUCUAGUUAGUCUGGCGAUAGUUCCUUUUAACUAUGGGGCUGGAAUAAUUGUAUGGUGUAUGUUAUGUUGGACUCAUUAACUAGAACUUUUUUUAUUUCUUGAUUGCAGGAUCCAAAGAACUAGCUGGCCUGGACUCUAGAUCACGGACGGUUUAGUCUUUGCAAUUAAUUAGGAUGGCUAAAUUAUAUCUGAGUUUCAUUUGAUGGAUAUUUGCUACGAGAAUUAUGAACUUUAUGAAUCUACAUAUUAUACGUAUGGUUUUGAAAUUGUAAUUGAAUGCAUGUAUUUUUUUACGGUUGCAAUAUGCUACAACCCACUUUGGGUUGCCACAAGCACCACCAAAAAAAGUGUUGCGUCAUAUCUCAGUCGAUAUGCCUACUAUUUUGUUGCACUAGGAUGUUGUAACGGAUCACUUCAUAAUGUCUGGCACCACAAAUUUUUUCAUGACGCGAUAACUGUUCGGUGCUACCAAAGUAAUUUUUGUUGAAAUAGAGUAUCACCAUGGAAAUUUUAAAUUGUCGCUAUAGUUUCUCGCUACAAACAUUUCAACUGUUGUGAUACCUAUUUAUCACCACCAAAACAAGUAUGUUGCAAUUUCUUAUUACGACGACAGGAAUAUUUGUUGCCAUAAGUUAAUGCCACAAGUGUAGUGGGUCGUGGCAACAUGCCUAAUGCGGCGAAACCAAGGAUUGCUGCCAUAGUUUAUUGCCACAAUUGUAGUGGGUCGUGGCAACAUGCCUAAUGCUACGAAAACAAGGAUUGUUGCCAUAGUUUUUUGCCACAAGUGUAGUGGGUCGUGGCAACAUGCCUAAUACCACGAAAAUAGGGAUUGUUGCCAUAGUUUAUUGCCACAGUUGACUAUUACCACGGAAGAGUAAUGCGCCACGAAACGAGCGUCGUUGGCAUAGGUUGUUGCCACAAAUGUCUAUCACCACGAGAUACUAGGCGCCACGAUUCGUUGCAUGUUGCAUUAAAGCUAUCUCCAUAAAUAUAAUUGUGGCAUCAAGUGAGUGUUGCCACGGGAAAACAUGUGGCAACUUCCAACAUGAAUGUUGCAAUAGCACACUUUAUUGCCACGGUUGCUUUUUGUGGCAAUAACCUAUUACCAUGUGUCAAGUCGCAACAGCUGCCAACGAAUGCCGUUUCGUGGCAAUAGGUACUUAUCGCCACGAAAUGACAUGUAUUGCAACAAACGAUUUUGUUGCAAUAGACCCGGAUCCUUAUAGUGCCUCCACCGUAGUGGUGCUCUUGCUGGUCAACAGGGGCGUGUACUUCUGCUCGCUACUAUCGCCGCUUGCCGCUGCUGUUGCUUGUGCUCGCCGCCGGCGCCGUACUGCGGCAGCAGCUCCUGGUUGUGGUUGUUGCCGCCUGUAGCGGUGCUGCUGCUGGUAGUGUGCUUUUACAUAUCUUGGCCUGUAUGUACUAGGUAAGUGUAAGACAAGUGUUUGUGCGAACGUUGAUUUGAGUUGUAACUUUUCACAAGUACUAGGUGGCUGCUAUGAGAAAGCAGGUAGGUGAGCUAUUUGGCAGGUUUUACGGCAAUGGUUGUUGGUUUCACGCAUGAAAUGCCUAGAAUAUAUAAGAGCAACUCCAAUGAAGCGACCCAUUUCGUCCGCCCGUUUCCGUUUGGGUCGGCGCGGACAAAAGUGGCGGCCCAACGCGCCGACCCAAACUCAAAUCGUGUCCGCCCGGCAUCCGCGCCGAUCCAUUUCCGGCCCAAAAUUAUGCCUGGAAUGCGUCGGCGCGGACGCGAAGCGGGCGCGCCGCGCGUCUCCUCGCCGUCCACCGCAUCCCCAUCUGACGGCCACCCAACCGCCACGGUCAACAUAAUUUAUGACGACCGCCCACCUUGGACCCACGCGUUAGCGACGGCGGUCAUCCUUUUUUAAGCCGGGCGUGCAGCGGGGCCGUCCUCAUCCACUUACCACUUACCACUCGCCCCCCGUCCCCAUCUGGCCACCCCUGCCCCCACGCCGGCGACAACCCUAGCUACCGCCAGCAUGGGUUUCUUCUCCGGCAUCGGCAGCAGUCGCAAGGGCAAAGCCCCCGCCCGCCAUUCCCCCUCCCUCCCCGCCCUCCCCGCGCCGGCGCGCGCUCCCUGGCAGAGGCAGCGCAUCAACGUGCCGUUGCACCAGUUCGAGUGGCACUGACACCACCGCGUGCCUCUGCCAUACCCAGACGUGACGCUGCCGCAUGACUGACAUUUGGAUCCGGAGAGGAUCCCAGUGCCGGCGGCGCCGCGGACGGCGAGGGCCCAUGCGGAGGAGGUGCGGCGCCGGCGGGUGUUGCUGAUGUCGGAGCAGCGUGCCGACCCGCACUUCGCCGCCGACUCGCCCAACUGGGCUCGAUGGUUCGCCUUCGAACACGAGGAAGCGAGGCGAUGCGGCGUCCGCGGCGUCGACCACAGCCUGCCGCCGCCCGCGCUCGUCGUCCGCGACGAGGACCAGGAGGCCAAGGCCACCUACCAGGCGGCCAUCAAGAAGAGCGAGGAGGAGGAGUGGUGGAGGGAGGCGGACGAGGCGGCUUUCGAGGCUGCCAUGGCGGAGGCCAUGGCCCUCUCCGCGGAGGGCGACUGCGUCGUGCCGCCGGUGGCCCCGCCGUCCCCGCCCAAAGCUGAGCCGGAGGAGCCGGCCUACCGCGAGCGCUACUCCUGGACCGGAGUAGUGCGUGAGUGGGUCAGCGCUCCGCCGAUCUGGCUCGGGGCGACGGAGAAGCAGGAGGCGGCCUACCUCAACCACUGGCGCCGUGUUCGGCUGGCCGAGGAGCGCCGGGAGGGCGAGCGCCUGCAGAUGCUCGAGCGCGAGGCCGACGAGGAGGCGCGCCAGGCCCAGUCAGCGGCGGCAAAGCCCGGCAUCGCCGCCGUUUGGAACACGACGUUUCCCUGGGCCAGCCCUGCGCCGACGUUGAUCGACCUCACCGGUCCCGACGCAGACACCGCCACCGCCGAGGACGCCUAGAGCAGCGCGUCGUCUUGUUUUUAGUGUUUUUAUUAAUGUAAUGUGGACUUUCGCCGGCUUUCGUGGCCGGCUUUUAUGUUUAAUUAAAUGCAUAUGUUUAUUUUCAAACUGCUCGCAAUAUUUUUUUUUGACGCGCCGACAAAAUGAGUCGGGCCAGCGUUAGGCGCUCGUGCCGACCCAAACACAGCGCCGGACGUUGUGUCCACCGGGCCGACCCAAACGGACAAAAAGCGGACGAAAGUGCCGUUGGGUCGGUCCGUUGGAGUUGACUGUUGAAAGUGCUGCUUGAGUGCUGAUUAGACGGGACUUCUCUACGCAUAAAUGUCAUGAUUAAAGCUGACUUAGCUAGUUCUACAUGAUUUUGUUGAAUGUUCAACGUAAAUAUGUUUGACAUGGUGAGGAACUUGAAUAUAGUCCAAAACAUAAGUCAAUGAGUUUUGCUUCGGUACACCGGCCCCCUCUUGAAUAUUUACACGAAUCUUAAAGUUACUUAAAUUUUACCGGAGCAAAACUAACUCUAUUGUAUAUAUACAUGCUUGACGUAAAACUCUAUUUGGCAAGGUAUUAUGAUGGAAAUUAGUGGGUUCAUUUAUGUGGCAGAGCCAUAGACGUAGAGGCAGACUGUACUGUACGUUGUGCAGAGAUGUGGAAUCCUAUAUACUCCUACUUAAGAAGUUCAUCCACACUAUCAUAUUUAUCUAAACAUGCAGACUAUCCACAUUAACAUCUAGCUAAGUCAGCAACUCUAAACAUCCAUACGUGCCAUGUCAUGCCUUCAGUUUCCAUUUGCAUGCAAACAGGCCGAAGCCCACUUUCCUGCGGUAGUAGUAAACAACUUCGCCCACUUUAUGCAUUCUCCCGUGUCAUUAAUUGAUGUUUAACUAGCGCACAGUUCUUCAUAAUGUUCCACCACACCAUCUGAUUCGUCUCCCUUAAUCAGCUGCGUCAUUACACCCCUUAAACUCCCUCGUGCCAUCCAACUUCCUGCAAAUUGCAGCCUGUAAUAAUGGCAAAUCAAGGAUUAAAAGCCCCCAUUGGGGCACUGCGUUGUGGUGAGUGGUGACCGCAGGCUCAGCUCCAGUUAGAUCACCGGCCUCUGAUCAUGUAUCCGGACGGAGCGGUACGUGACCUAGGGCCUCGCCAUCCUCUUCCUCUCCCAAUCUCCCUACCCGAUCCAUUCUGUCCGCAGGUACCAAGCACCUACAAGUUACUGCUGCUGUAUUUGCUCAAGGCGUUGAAUUUGGAGACCUCCAUCAUCGACCGGCCGCAGGUAGCCUGCUGCAGCCCCCAUAAUCUUUGCUCCGUGAUCGAAGUUUGGUGUCAUAUCCAGCGCCUCUACCCUGUGUCUCUUGCCUAUUGCAUCAUGGACAAGUCCCCUGCUCUUAUCUAGCCUUUGACUGCAGCAAAGACCUUGCCCAUGAGUUGGUAAAUAACCAAUGGCGUCAAUCCUCAAUUAUUUCUCCUAAAUUAAUCUUGCCCUGUGGUUAAUUUUCUUUUUCUUCAUGCACCUCUAUUUUUUCUCAUACUGAGUUACCGAUUGUAGUGCUCGGCGAAAUUUGGAUUCUCCAUUGCUGCAGGUCCUCCCCCUCAUGGCAUCUGUACCAUGUAGCAUGCUGCUCCUUCUUUUUUGUGUGAAAUGUAGCAGUUUAUUUCUGAUUGCUCCGUUCCCAAUCCUCCUAUGUAUUAUCUUGCUACUUUAGCGUGAGGUUAUGCUACAUGAUUUGCAUAUUAUGUCCUCCCCCUCAUGGCAUCUAUACCACGUGGCAGGAUAUUCCUUUUUCUGUUUUGAGGGAAUCGUAGUAGGCUAUUGCUGAUAGCUCCAUUAGUAAUCCUCCUAUUAUCUGCAAUUUUACCAUAAGGUUGUGCUACAUGAUUUGCUUAUUACUUUUUGCAACGCCUUCUGUAGUUCUGUUCAGAGAUGGAUGAAAGAUCGAAUUAUUAUUCACCCCAUGGAUGCAUGUUUAUUGAUUUAUUUUUUGGGGUUUUUGUCAAAUUAUGCUGCCUGAUCAUUUCUUAUAUCAGAAUAACGAAGCAUAUAUGAUUGGACGUAUAUGAUUAAGGUACAGGAAACAGUAGGAUGUCUUAUACAAAUAAGUUAAUUUUAACAGGCACGCAUAAGAUAAUAAGGAAGAUGAUCACAUCAGAUUAUCGAGCCACUCUUGAGUAAUACAUAUUGCUUUCCUAACUCUAUGGAGUAACGCCAUAUAUAAUUCGUUUAAAAGUUUCCUUCCAAUUACCCAAAAGCCAAUGUGCCUCACCAUCAUGCUUCUGAUCUUACCAAAAUAUGAAGCGUCCAUUUGGUUUCCAAUUAUUUUUCUCAAAGUUUGUUCCUUAUUUCAAUUUCUGUCAAGACUGUCAAAGGCAACCCAUGUACAAAAGACCAAAUAGUUUAGAACCCAGUAAUUAAGCAUGAAGCGCUAAACAUGUUCUCACAAAAAACAUAGAUUAACUAGCUGCAUGGAUAAUAUGAUUUUCUCAUUAUUUAUUUUGCCAAUUAUAAAUCAUAUUUAUCAUGCAUGAAAAAAGAUACUUAUAUUAAAUAAAUACUUUACAAUUAUAUAAUAACACAUAUAUGUAUAUUCGGAUUUAGUUAUCAUAUUACUAAUCCAAAUAUUCAUCUUCAAUAAAAUCAAAUCACAUUAGUAUACUAGUAGAACGCCCGUGCGUUACCACGGGCUCUUAAUUUUUUUUAUUGCACCUAUGAAUACAAUACAUAUCAAAUUUGCAUGUAUAAAUUUUAUCUGAUUGCGCAUAUAAUGUAUAUUAUAUUUUGUAGGUAGAGAAAAGAUAGCCUGCAACAAUUAGAAAAUAAUUGAAAUCCAUUUCACCUGCAAUGUAACUCGGUGAUAUAUACAUAGAGAACAAUGAUCCAAAUAAUUAUAUGUUACAAACUAAGAUUUACUUGAUGUGAUUAAGAUAUUACCUUACGACGUCAGGUAUGUUGUCUUAAGCUUCAUUUGCAUGGUACUUUAGCAAAUGUAAUAAAAAAUUAUUUCUCAACUUUAUAACCAUCCUGCACAAGCAGUGUAUACUACAUGUCAAACAUAAAGCUUGGGAAGGAUAAAGCACAUCAAAUGACAUCUUUUAAUGAAACAUAGCCGACCUUUUUGUACCACAAAAUCAAUCUUAUUCCUUGGCCCAUUAUUUUUGAAGUGCUUUCUCUUGACUUCUCUUUUCUAUAUGCACAAAAAUCAAUAGAUCCAAAGAAGAGAAGGAUCCAGAGAUGUUCAUACCUAGAGGCAAUAAUCAAUUCGUUAGUCCACAACGACGACAAGUGCCAAGGCUCAUGCAUUUUAAGUCCAUAAUCCCAACCUACACCACAACCCAACAAAAGUCGACAUCUUCUUGCUCCAUUAAGAGCAUCUACAGCCGAACUUGGCAAAUUUGACCCCUCAAAUGUCCGCGGACACGCCCGGGCGUCUCCGCGGAUAGUGAAUGGUCACCCAUCAAAAAAAGCAUUCCACAUCCGGAUACCUCAAAUUAGAAAUUUCAAAUCCAUAUUAUUAGAUGCAACACAACGAUCUUUGACCGGAGCUUCGUCCGGUUUCGCUCCCGCCCGCCCGCUCUCCCUAGUCACAAAAAAGAUGUAUAAGGGAAGGGGCAGAUACAUCUUGUAGAGCCAUGAUCUGCCACAAUGCUAACCCACUACUUGUCAACAGACCAUGCGAGUCAUAUUUUCCUCUCCUCAUCAGAUGUGCCAUGUUCAAGUUCAAAUGUCAGUGCACAGUUUGUGAGAUUCAUAAAAAUGUCAGGGCACAGUUUGGAAUAAUUCAGUGAAAGUGAAGCCAAAUUAGAGAGGUGUACAUGUUACAUCAUCAUCAUUAGUUGAAUAAUAGCAUCUAAAAAUUCAACCGUUCGAAAGGAAAAUGCAUAUAUGUCAGGACUGCGCAUGCAAUAUACUCACAAGAUGUGAUAGAUUUGCCACCGACGCCCAUGAAUAAGGUUGUCGGCCACCCAAUGCACUUGUGUUGUCAAUGACCCUUCUCGUCAUCUUGUGUACCCCAAGUACAAUAGCAUGUAAUUGGACUGUUAGUAGACCUCGCUUUAUGGAAGCCAUUUUAGAGUUGAUGAACUACAACACUCAUGUUGUGGCCGCUUCGAGUGAAAAGUGUGACUAAUUAGUUUUCCAAAAGAAUCAAAUCAAGCCAACUAAUUUCACUUUGAAUAGCCACAUGAACAAUACCUGAGUUGUUGUUUGGAAAGCUUUGCUAGGAAUUUUUAUGCCCCACCCUUGAUCACAAACCAAUUUGUAUUCUGCCAGUCAAUGGAUCAUUGCUCUAAAGGGCUCUCUGAAGAAACCUUUUCACCAUGAGUUGAUCAUCCUUGGCUGCCGGAGCAUUUGGAUCACGAGAAAUGCAUCAAUCUUUAAAAACAAUCAGGCCAAGUGUUUACAAAUGCAAAGAAGGACAUUAAGGGUUGCUAGACCUACUGCUUCAUGGUUUGUCUGAAACAAUACACACAACUUUAUCUUCUAACCCAAAUGAAAACCUGGUAGGAGGCUUAUUUGGUCUUAAUCUUACUUGUUCUUUCCUGCCAUGACCAACACAUAACGCUUAUUAACAUUCCUGCAAGGAACAAUCCACUAGUGCAGAACCGGGCAAUAGCACCGGUUCAUAAGGCCCUUUAGUGCCGGUUUAGGAACCGGCACUAAAGUUUCGGCACNNNNNNNNNNNNNNNNNNNNNNNNNNNNNNNNNNNNNNNNNNNNNNNNNNNNNNNNNNNNNNNNNNNNNNNNNNNNNNNNNNNNNNNNNNNNNNNNNNNNNNNNNNNNNNNNNNNNNNNNNNNNNNNNNNNNNNNNNNNNNNNNNNNNNNNNNNNNNNNNNNNNNNNNNNNNNNNNNNNNNNNNNNNNNNNNNNNNNNNNNNNNNNNNNNNNNNNNNNNNNNNNNNNNNNNNNNNNNNNNNNNNNNNNNNNNNNNNNNNNNNNNNNNNNNNNNNNNNNNNNNNNNNNNNNNNNNNNNNNNNNNNNNNNNNNNNNNNNNNNNNNNNNNNNNNNNNNNNNNNNNNNNNNNNNNNNNNNNNNNNNNNNNNNNNNNNNNNNNNNNNNNNNNNNNNNNNNNNNNNNNNNNNNNNNNNNNNNNNNNNNNNNNNNNNNNNNNNNNNNNNNNNNNNNNNNNNNNNNNNNNNNNNNNNNNNNNNNNNNNNNNNNNNNNNNNNNNNNNNNNNNNNNNNNNNNNNNNNNNNNNNNNNNNNNNNNNNNNNNNNNNNNNNNNAUAUAUCAUCAAUGUCUCACAAACCAUAUUAAUUCACACAUACACACAUGUAUAGCUAUAUACAAUUUCUCCUACAUAUGCAUGUUGCCUUCGGAGCCAGUGGCAUUAGCCUAAUUGGUGCCUUCGGAGCACGAUGACAAUUGGAAGUGGUUCAUGGGGGCGGUAGCGGGUAAUAGUAUUCUCCCUUCGAAUUUAUGACCUGGUCGAGCAAAAAUCCCGCUAUUUCCUCUUGAAGUGCUUCUACGCGCUCUGUUUUUAGGAGCUUGUCCCGCACCUCUUUGAACUGUUCAGAAGGAGAUUAAUAUGCAUGUGUAUUAGUUGUGUGACUAGAUAUCGAUAAUGGUAUAAAAAUUGUGAAUAGUGUACUGACAAGCGUACCCAUUCCUGUCUUUGAGAUCUGCUCCUUUCGGACGCCAUCAUGCGAAUGUUCUCGCAAACGCAGAAUGCACACAGAUCAGUCCCCUGCGCCUGCUUCAGGGCCUUUAUUACGAGAAUGGAAUUUAAUUUGAUCAGAUAAUAAUUAAUCAAGCAUGAUAAUUAAAGAGAUGGCAGCUAGCUAGCUAGCUAGCUAGUACUACUUAAUUACUUACCUUGGAUCGAAACCAUUUCAGCUUUGGUUUCCAUUUGCCUUCCGUGACGCUGAUGAACCUUGCCCAAGCCCUGCCCGCCGACAAAGAAAAUGAAUAAAGGGGUUAUUAAAUAGUUCAUAUCAUGAAAUGACGAAUUACUAAAUAGGCCGAGAUAUAUAGUUAAUAAUGAUUGAAAUUACCUGUUGACUAUCCCAAACAAGAUGUUAUAGUCACUUUGUUUUUUAAGUAUCGAGUCCAGUAUUUCAACUGUUCCGGCGUCAACUUUAAUGAUACACAAGAUCCAAUGAAAUCUGCAUGCACACACGUUUGCAUGUCUUAAUUAAGCGGGCAUAUGUAAGCAAAAACAUGUAGCUAGCUAGCUAGUAGGCAAAAACAGAGAAUUUGUAGUACAAGAAAGUGUGACUCACUGGAAGUUGUAAGGAAGUAGUAUAUCUUCAUUCUAUUUGAGACGCUUCAAGAACUCUAGCAUGCUGUCCUCUACCUCUUUUUCUUGAUGCUUGUUCAUUUUCCAUGUGUAUUCAUUAACGGUGUUUGGGUCAAUGAACCCAAUGCCAUAGCGUCCACCUUUUCUCAUUUCAUACAUCUUCAUCCUGCAUAAUACCACAGAAAAGAAUAUAGUGAGGAUAAUUACGGGUAAUGAUUGAUCAAAAGGAUCACUACAGCUAGCUUGAGAUUUAAAUUACAGAAAGAAAUCACUUACAGACAAUAGCAACUGACGAUAGAUUUGUCGAGUGCGUCUUGAUUGUAUAACUGAAACAGUUUAGGAUACUCAACGGCCACAGCUUUCUCAUGGUAGUAAUCAUCCUUCUUGACAUCCACCAUGAGGGACUCUCGAUUGGAUCUCUUGGUAAUGUCCAUGUACCAUUGAUGGAAUUCAUACAUUUUUGUUGGGAGCUUGUUGACAUCUUCUGGCUCGACCAAAGGUUGGCCCCGGACAUAUUUCCGUUUUAUUUCCUCCUCUGUAAUCCCAGGCAUGUCCUCGAUCUCGAGGAGUUGUCCAACAGUGAUCUUGAGUUCUUCAGCCUGCAUUAUAUGCUCCUGGGUUAUUACCACAUCGCCCACCUCGAGAACGUAAACUGUUUGGCCACAAUAAUAUUGAGCGCGCAUACUGUCAUGUGUUGUUGGCGGCACAACAAGCAGGGGGGUCGAUUGCGCCCCCUGUUUUCCCAGCUGGGCAACGGUUUUCCCGGAUUUUUUGACAGCUGCUUGUUGUUUGCUCGAGCUCGAGCUCGCCUCCUUCUGUAGAUGUCGUCGAUGUAACUUCCUGAUGUGGCGCUCAUAGUCUGUGUCAACAGGCUUAGGAGCUGGUGGUUGAGCCAUACGAAUGAAGUGGUCAACUACUUCCACAGGCACUUUCUCCCUUGGCGGCGGUGGCGGUUUAGGUCCAAAAUGGGCGUCGACUUCUGCCUGCACUAUGGCAUUGGUUUGCUCCUCGGUCCUGUCGUAAGCCCUCACAUGAAGAGGAGUAGUGAGGUUUGGACCAUAUUUAUAUCGCUUGCCUCCGCUUGUACUUCCUGUACUAUGACCUCGACUCGUACCGCUACGCACCAUAGCUGCGGGGUGUCUCUUCUGCGAUUGCUGAGGCGGCGGAGACGGCUGACGGGGCUGAGUUGGACGAGGAGGAGUGGCCUGAAGCUGUGCCGGACUUGCAGUGGCCUGAGGUUGUGCCGGACUUGGAGGAGGAGUGGACGUCUGAUGUUGUGUCGGACUUGGAGGAGGAGUCACCUGACACUUUGCCGGACUUGGAGGAGGAGGAGUGGCCUCACGCGUUGGUGGACUUGGAGGAGCGGGAGUCUGCUGACUCGGUGGCGGACUUCGACGAGGAGUCGGGUGACGCGGUGUCGGUGGCCUUCGAAAGAUGAUGCAAUCCUUUCUCCAUAGGAUGACACGAUGUAUGGCCUCUCCCAAUGUGUGCUCGUCGUCACCUCCAGGAAUGUCAAGCUGUAGCUCCGAAUAUGGGUCCACCACCUCAUCAACCAAGACACGAGCAUAGCCCGCUGGAAUCGGGUUGCAAUGGAAGGUUGCCUCCGGGGAAUUUGAAAAAGCAACGGCGUCCGCCACCUUCAUGGGUAUGUUCUUCAUUUUGAAGUGUAGCUCGCAGUUAGUGUUCUCCGUGAUGUCAUCCACGGGGUAUCUAUCCAGCACUACUGCGUCGCCCGGGGUGGAACCCACGCUGCUUUUCGGCAUGGAUGGGGCGGUAGUAUUCAAUGCUGGAUCAUCCACUAGCUGCUGCAGAUGCUGAGACCCCCUUUGCUGGCUAAGUGAGUCGAUCUGCUCCUGCUGCCGCUGGAAUUUAGCUGCCAAUUCUGCUUGACUUGCUUCUAGGCCUUGAAGGCGUUCAUAGUCCCGCUUCCUCUGCUCCUCCUCCAUCUUCCUCUUCUUCUCCUCCGCAAUCUUCUUUCUCGCACGGGUUCUGUAGUCGGCGUUCCAGUCCGAAAACCCCUCAUACCACGGAAGAGUGCCCUUGCCUCGUGUUCUUCCCGGGUGUUCAGGAUUUCCCAGGGCACGCGUAAGCUCGUCGUUCUCUCUGUUGGGCUGGAACACCCUCGAUCGAGCCUCUUCUAUUGCAACAAGUAGCGCAUCAUGGGCUCCGUUCAGACAUGCCUUCAUCGAAACAUUGCCUGUCUUCGGGUCCAACUCCCCCCAUGCGCAUAGAACCAAGUCCUGCACCUGGGGGGCCAGCUCUUAGUAACCGGAGUGACACUUGCAUCCUCCAUUGCUUUGUCAGACUUAUCCCACUUAGGCAUUGCCACCGCGUAGCCACCUGGCCCCAGCUUAUGGAACUUAUCAUUUUUUCGGCAUUCUUCUUGUUUAUUCUCGACCGUUCCUUAGCUAAUUCUGAAUCCUUGAAUUUCACAAAAUCGUCCCAAUGAGCACUUUGAUUCUCUAGUAUCCCCUCGAAUACUGAGUCUUCCUUCCUCCCUUGACGUACUUCUCCCACGUCGUUCUCUUGUGGUUCUUGAAUGCAACCGCCAUCUUCCUAAAAGCAGCAUCCUUGACUUUCCGCACAUCUGCUUCUGUGAAAUUAUCUGGUAGGGUGAAAUGUUCCAUGAGAGUAUCCCAAAGCAGUUUUUUUUAUUCUCGUCGACAAAAGUAACAUUUGGACGUGGCUUUGCUGGCUUUCUCCAUUCUUGAAGGGAGAUCGGGAGUUGGUCCUUCACAAGAACUCCGCACUGACGAACGAACUUGUCCGCAAUCUUCUUAGGCGCUAAUGGUUCGCCAUUAGGUUUGAAUGCCUCGAUAUUAUACUUUACGCCCUCCUUCAACUUUUUGUUCGGGCCUCAUUUCAUCCUUUUGCCUGAAGAUUUGCUCGAUCCGGAUGGCUGAAAGAAGAAAGAUCGAUUCGUUAAUAUAUCUUCAACUCAUUUAAAACAUGUGAUGAUCACCAGAUUCCUGCUUAUAUAAAUAUAUAUACCUCGCCGGUGUUUGUUGUUUCAGGAUCAACAUGUUCUUCGUCGUAGUUCAUGACUUCAUCUUCUCGGUCGUCGCGAUCGAAUAUCAUAUCACCCUCUCCGGUGUUGUUUAGAAAUUCGGAGCCGUCAAAAUCUUCUUCAUUCUGAUCAUCAUCUGGCCCGCGUAUGAUAUCGAACAUGGUCUGUUCUCUCUCUCUGUCGGUAUUGUCCGCCAUAGCUUUUAUUUAACUAUGCCAAAAGAAAUAUAAAACAAUUUAGUAUAAUCUCGAAUAAUAGAUAUAAUCUCGAAUACAUCGUCUCGAAUAAUAGAUAUAAUCUCGAAUACAUCGUCUCGAAUAAUAAAUUUAAUCUUGAAUACGUCGUCUCGAAUAAUAGAUAUAAUCUCGAAUACAUCGUAUCAAAUAAUAUAUAUAAUCUCGAAUAAAUCAUCUCGAAUAUUAUAUAUCGAAUACAUCACUAGCUAGCUAGCUAGCUAAUAAAGAUCGAAUACUAGAGAGUAAUCUAGGCGGUGGACAACCAAAGUGAAGGAACCAUCACUGGAUCAUAGCUCGGGUGAUCUCCCCAAAGAACCUACCAGGUAUUGGAGAACCUGACGUACAUAGCAGCCAUGUAGCGAUGGACGUGCUCGUCCUCCUCCCUGACACGACGACGUACCACCUCCCGCGGGGCCGGCUCCCUCCGCACCGAAAGUGGCCCACGCGAAUGCCACCAAAGGAGAUGAGGGUCGACGACGGGACCCGGGGCCGGGUUCCUCACCAAGCGUCACGCCCCUGAAGGUAGCACCUCCCAGUGCCAGCCCGGCGGAGCCCAGUCCCGGACAUGGGUCCUCUGAAGCAGGACGUCGUCGCAAACGGGUCGACGGCGAGGAUGCGGGCCGGGCAUCGUCGACAACAAAUACUAUAUGCAAAUGUAACACUAAUUAUGCUAUCAUUGCAUAUGUCAAAAUUCUAUAUGCUAUUUCAUACUAAUUACGCGUCUAACACUAAAAAGAGAAAAAACAACUUCUAUACAUCCAUUAAAAACAGAAAAACAACAUUAUAUAAAAAAAUUCCAUACUAAUUAAACACUAAUUAUAUCCAUCUAACAUGCAUUCAUACAUAUAUACUAGUGAAAAAAUAAUAAUCUGAAAAAUCUAAACUAAUUAAACAUACAAAAUACGUAUAUACUAAUUAACUUAAGGAAAUGUGCGUGUGUGUGUGUUCAUCAUGCUUGUGUGUGUGUAUGGGCUCGGGGAGGGGCGGCGCCCAUGGUGGCCACCGGGGGCGAGGGAGAGGGGUUAGAGGGGGAGAGCUCACAGCGGGGCGACGGCGAGGCGACGGCCGGGGGCGGCGACGGGCCGGGGCGUGACGGGGCGGCGACGCGGGGACNNNNNNNNNNNNNNNNNNNNNNNNNNNNNNNNNNNNNNNNNNNNNNNNNNNNNNNNNNNNNNNNNNNNNNNNNNNNNNNNNNNNNNNNNNNNNNNNNNNNNNNNNNNNNNNNNNNNNNNNNNNNNNNNNNNNNNNNNNNNNNNNNNNNNNNNNNNNNNNNNNNNNNNNNNNNNNNNNNNNNNNNNNNNNNNNNNNNNNNNNNNNNNNNNNNNNNNNNNNNNNNNNNNNNNNNNNNNNNNNNNNNNNNNNNNNNNNNNNNNNNACCAACCGGUACUAAAGGCCUGUUUUAGUACCGGUUGGUGGCUCCAACCGGUACUAAAGGCCCCCCCCUUAGUACCGGUUGGUGCCACGACCCGGUACUAAAGGGUGUGCGCUGCCAGGCGAGGGGCGUAGAAGUUUAAUCCCACCUCGCUAGCCGAAGGGCGCUCACACCUGCUUAUAAACCCCGCCGCCGCUGCUGUCUCGAGCUCCUCUCUAAAGCAGGCCUUCUGGGCCUACCUCUGCUACUCUGCCCUGUGGGGCCUAUUGGGCUUGCGGGCCUGCAUCCUGGCCCAACAACAGGUUGGGUUUCUAGUCGUAUGCAGGCCGUUGUGGCCCAGUAGGUGGGCUUUUUUCAUUUAGUUUUUUUCUUUUCUGCUUUAUUUAUUUUGUUUUAUUUAUUUUUAGUUGUUUUUUGCUGUAUUUAGAGUUUCUUUGUGAAUAUUUUUGAUAGUUUUUAGAAACUUUCAGUUAGUGCCGGUAGUUUUUAAAUUUGAAUAGUUUAAAUUUUGAAUUAUUUGAAAUUUGUGUGAAUCACUAGUUUGUGAAUAACUUAACUUUAAAAAUACAUUUUCGAGUGAUUCUUUUUUCUUAUAUUUAAUAUUAGUGUGUUUUAUCAUUAUAUUCAAUUUGGUAAUGCUUAAGUUAUUUAAAAAAUGAAAUGCCUUUGUAACGGAUGAGUUUUCGUCCGAAACCCUGAUACUUCGAAACAGAUUGUCCAUUUUGUACACGAAGUGCAUCCAGUUUUUGCGGUAACCCUCUCUACUUUUUUGCACAUGCUACGUAGGUGAAAUUAUGAUACCAUGCCAAAUUUUAUCCUUUUCUGAGUUCAUUUGAAAUGCUUUUCAAUUUCAGGGUCAUUUAGCUGAAAAAAUCAGUAAAUGCAUGAAAGAAUUUGCUUGCACAUAAAAUUUCUUCGCGUUUCAAAUGCCAAAACACAUAACUAGCUACCAUAACUAUUACAGAGAUUCCUUCCUGGGUGUGAAACACAGAAGAAAGUGAUGAUAGUUAAGCCGAUCACAUCCCAGAUCUUUGGGUGUGAAACUUUUUCUUCGUGUGUGUCCCUUUGCGUCGUAGCCAUGGAAAAUCUUCAUCAUUUAACGGGAUGCUCGGGUCAAUAUUCACUGUGAAUGGAGCAAUUUCAUCAAACUUUUCAUAAUCUUCUGACUUGUCUGUCUUGUCAUCCACUCCCACGAUGUUUCUCUUCCCAGAAAGAACUAUGUGCCGCUUUGGCUCAUCGUACGAUGCAUUCGCUUCCUUAUCUUUUCUUUUUCUUGGCUUGGUAAACAUGUCCUUCACAUAGAAAACCUGUGCCACAUCAUUGGCUAGGACGAAUGGUUCGUCUGCAUAUGCAAGAUUGUUGAGAUCCACUGUUGUCAUUCCGUACCGCGGGUCUUCCGUUACCCCGCCUCGUGUCAUAUUGACCCAUUUGCACCGAAACAAAGGGACCUUCAAACCACAUCGAUAGUCAAGUUCCCAUAUGUCCUGUAUAUAACCAUAAUAUGUUUCCUUUCCCGUCUUGGUUUCUGCAUCAAAGCGGACACCACUGUUUUGGUUGGUGCUCUUCUUAUCUUGGGCGAUCGUGUAAAAUGUAUUACCAUUUAUCUCGUACCCUUUGAAAGUCAUUAUAUUCGAAGAUGGUAACUGGGACAGCAAGUACAAGUCAUCUUCAAUAGAGGUGUCUGUUGGAAAUAUGCCCUAGAGGCAAUAAUAAAAGCAUUAUUAUUAUAUUUCCUUGUUCAUGAUAAUUGUCUUUAUUCAUGCUAUAAUUGUGUUAUCCGGAAAUCGUAAUACAUGUGUGAAUAACAGACAUCAACAUGUCCCUAGUGAGCCUCUAGUUGACUAGCUCGUUGAUCAACAGAUAGUCAUGGUUUCCUGACUAUGGACACUGGAUGUCAUUGAUAACGAGAUCACAUCAUUAGGAGAAUGAUGUGAUGGACAAGACCCAAUCCUAAACAUAGCACAAGAUCGUAUAAGUUCGUUUGCUAGAGUUUUCCAAUGUCAAGUAUCUUUUCCUUAGACCAUGAGAUCGUGUAACUCCCGGAUACCGUAGGAGUGCUUUGGGUAUGCCAAACGUCACAACGUAACUGGGUGACUAUAAAGGUAGACUACGGGUAUCUCCGAAAGUGUCUGUUGGGUGACAUGGAUCAAGACUGGGAUUUGUCACUCCGUAUGACGGAGAGGUAUCACUGGGCCCACUCGGUAAUGCAUCAUCAUAAUGAGCUCAGAGUGACCAAGUGUCUGGUCACGGGAUCAUGCAUUGCGGUACGAGUAAAGUGACUUGCUGGUAACGAGAUUGAACGAGGUAUUGGGAUACCGACGAUCGAAUCUCGGGCAAGUAACAUAUCGAUAGACAAAGGGAAUAGCGUACGGGGUUGAUAGGAUCCUCGACAUCGUGGUUCAUCCGAUGAGAUCAUCGUGGAGCAUGUGGGAGCCAACAUGGGUAUCCAGAUCCCGCUGUUGGUUAUUGACCGGAGAGUCGUCUCGGUCAUGUCUGCUUGUCUCCCGAACCCGUAGAGUCUACACACUUAAGGUUCAGUUACGCUAGGGUUGUAGGGAUAUGUAUAUGCAGUAACCCGAAUGUUGUUCGGAGUCCCGGAUGAGAUCCCGGACGUCACGAGGAGUUCCGGAAUGGUCCGGAGGUAAAGAUUUAUAUAUGGGAAGUCCUGUUUCGGGCAUCGGGACAAGUUUCGGGGUUAUCGGUAUUGUACCGGGACCACCGGAAGGGUCCCGGGGGUCCACCGGGUGGGUCCACCUGUCCCGGGGGGGCCACAUGGGCUGUAGGGGGUGCGCCUUGGCCUAAUGGGCCAAGGGCACCAGCCCCACAUAGGCCCAUGCGCCUAGGGUUUUAAGGGGAAAGAGUCCUAGGAGGGGAAGGCACCUCCUAGGUGCCUUGGGGGGGAGGGAAACCCCCCUUGGCCGCCGCACCCCCUAGGAGAUUGGAUCUCCUAGGGCCGGCCACCCCCCCCUUGGCCCUCCUAUAUAUAGUGGGGGAGAGGAGGGACUUCAUACCUGAACGCCUUGGCCUUUGGUUGCCUCCUUCUCCCUCUCCAACACCUCCUCCACCUCCAUAGUGCUUGGCGAAGCUCUGCCGGAGUACUGCAGCUCCAUCAACACCACGCCGUCGUGCUGCUGCUGGUGCCAUCUCCCUCAACCUCUCCUCCCUCCCUUGCUGGAUCAAGAAGGAGGAGACGUGGCUGUUCCGUACGUGUGUUGAACGCGGAGGUGCCGUCCGUUCGGCGCUGGUCAUCGGUGAUUUGGAUCAUGUCGAGUAUGACUACAUCAUCACCGUUCUUUUGAACGCUUCCGCUCGUGAUCUACAAAGGUAUGUAGAUGCAUCUAAUCACUCGUUGCUAGAUGAACUCCUAGAUGAUCUUGGUGAAACGAGUAGGAAAAUUUUUGUUUUCUGCAACGUUCCCCAACAGUGGCAUCAUGAGCUAGGUCUAUGCGUAGUUCUUCUUGCGCGAGUAGAACACAAUUUGUUGUGGGCGUAGAUUUGUCAACUCUCUUGCCGUUACUAGUCCUUUCUUGCUUCAGCGGUAUUGUGGGAUGAAGCGGCCCGGACCAACCUUACACGUACGCUUACGUGAGACCGAUUCCACCGACUAACAUGCACUAGAUGCAUAAGGUGGCUGGCGGGUGUCUGUCUCUCCUACUUUAGUUGGAGCGGAAUCGAUGAACAGGGUCCUUAUGAAGGGUAAAUAGAAGUUGACAAAUCACGUUGUGGCUUUAACGUAGGUAAGAAGACGUUCUUGCUAGAACCCUAAUUCAGCCACGUAAAACUUGCAACAACAAUUAGAGGACGUCUAACUUGUUUUUGCAGCAAGUGGUUUGUGAUAUGAUAUGGCCAAAGUUGUGAUGAAUGAUGAAUGAUCUAUAUGUGAUGUAUGAGAUGUUCAUGCUAUUGUAAUAGGAUUCACGACUUGCAUGUCGAUGAGUAUGACAACCGGCAGGAGCCAUAGGAGUUGUCUUUAUUCUUUUAAUGACUUGCGUGUCAUCGAGAAACGCCAUGUAAAUUACUUUACUUUAUUGCUAAACGUGUUAGCCAUAGUAGUAGAAGUAAUAGUUGGCGAGCAACUUCAUGGAGACACGAUGAUGGAGAUCAUGAUGAUGGAGAUCAUGGUGUCAAGCCGGUGACAAGAUGAUCAUGGAGCCCCAAGAUGGAGAUCAAAGGAGCUAUGUGAUAUUGGCCAUAUCAUGUCACGUUUAUUAUUUGAUUGCAUGUGAUGUUUAUCAUGUUUUGCAUCUUGUUUACUUAGAACGACGGUAGUAAAUAAGAUGAUCCCUCACAAUAAAUUCAAGAAGUGUUCCCCCUAACUGUGCACCGUUGCGACAGUUCGCUGUUUCAAAACACCACGUGAUGAUCGGGUGUUUUAUUCAGACGUUCACAUACAACGGGUGUAAGACAGAUUUACACAUGCAAACACUUAGGUUGACUUGACGAGCCUAGCAUGUACAGACAUGGCCUCGGAACACAGAAGACCGAAAGGUCGAGCAUGAGUCGUAUAGAAGAUACGAUCAACAUGAAGAUGUUCACCAAUGUUGACUAGUCCGUCUCACGAGAUGAUCGGACACGGUCUAGUUUAACUCGGAUCAUGUAAUACUUAGAUGACUAGAGGGAUGUCUAAUCUAAGUGGGAGUUCACUAAUAAUUUGAUUAGUUGAACUUAAUUAUCAUGAGCUUAGUCUAAAAUCUUUGCAAUAUGUCUUGUAGAUCAAAUGGCCAACGUAGUCCUCAACUUCAACGCGUUCCUAGAGAAAACUAAGCUGAAAGACGAUGGCAGCAACUAUACGGACUGGGUCCGGAACCUGAGGAUCAUCCUCAUAGCUGCCAAGAAAUAUUAUGUCCUACAAGCACCGCUUGGUGACGCACCCAUUCUCCCUGCAGAACAAGAUGUUAUGAACGCUUGGCAGGCACGUUUCGAUGACUACUCCCUCGUUCAGUGCGGCAUGCUUUACAGCUUAGAGCCGGGGCUCCAAAAGCGUUUUGAGAGACAUGGAGCAUAUGAGAUGUUCGAAGAGCUGAAAAUGGUUUUCCAAGCUCAUGCCCGGGUCGAGAGAUAUGAAGUCUCCGACAAAUUCUUCAGCUGUAAGAUGGAGGAAAACAGUUCUGUCAAUGAGCACAUACUCACUAUGUCUGGGUUGCAUAACCGCUUGACUCAGCUGGGAGUUAAUCUCCCGGAUGAUGCGGUCAUUGACAGAAUCCUCCAGUCGCUUCCACCAAGCUACAAGAGCUUUGUGAUGAACUUCAAUAUGCAGGGGAUGGAAAAGACCAUUCCUGAAGUAUUUGCUAUGCUGAAAUCAGCAGAGGUAGAAGUCAGGAAGGAACAUCAAGUGUUGAUGGUCAAUAAAACCACUAAGUUCAAGAAAGGCAAGGGUAAAAAGAACUUCAAGAAGGACGGCAAGGAGGUUGCCGCGCCCGGCAAGCAAGCUGCCGGGAAGAAGCCAAGGAAUGGACCCAAGCCCGAGACUGAGUGCUUUUAUUGCAAGGGAAGCGGUCACUGGAAGCGGAACUGCCCUAAGUACUUAGCGGAUAAGAAGGCCGGCAAAACCAAAGGUAUAUGUGAUAUACAUGUAAUUGAUGUGUACCUUACUAGUGCCCGUAGUGGCUCCUGGGUAUUUGAUACCGGUGCAGUUGCUCACAUUUGUAACUCAAAGCAGGGGCUGCGGAAUAAGCGGAAACUGGCAAAGGACGAGGUGACGAUGCGCAUCGGGAAUGGUUCCAAGGUCAAUGUGAUCGCCGUCGGCACGCUACCUCUGCAUCUCCCUUCGGGAUUAGUUUUAAACCUUAAUAAUUGUUAUUUAGUGCCAGCUUUGAGCAUGAACAUUGUAUCGGGAUCUCGUUUAAUUCGAGAUGGCUACUCUUUUAAAUCUGAGAAUAAUGGUUGUUCCAUUUUUAUGAGAGAUAUGUUUUAUGGUCAUGCUCCUAUGGUGAAUGGUUUAUUCCUUAUGAAUCUCGAACGUGAUGCUACACAUAUUCAUAAUGUGAGUACCAAAAGAAGUAAGGUUGAUAAUGAUAGUCCCACAUACCUGUGGCACUGCCGCCUUGGUCACAUAGGUGUCAAACGCAUGAAGAAGCUCCAUGCUGAUGGACUUUUAGAGUCUCUUGAUUAUGAAUCAUUUGACACGUGCGAACCAUGCCUUAUGAGUAAAAUGACCAAGACUCCAUUCUCAGGAACAAUGGAGCGAGCAACCGACUUAUUGGAAAUCAUACAUACUGAUGUGUGCGGUCCGAUAAGUGUUGAGGCUCGCGGUGGCUAUCGUUAUGUUCUCACCCUCACUGAUGAUUUAAGUAGGUAUGGGUAUAUCUACUUAAUGAAACACAAGUCUGAAACCUUUGAAAAGUUCAAGGAAUUUCAGAGUGAGGUUGAAAAUCAACGUGACAGGAAAAUCAAGUUUCUACGAUCAGAUCGUGGAGGAGAAUACUUGAGUCACGAGUUUGGGGCACACUUAAGAAAAUGUGGAAUAGUUUCACAACUCACGCCGCUUGGAACACCUCAGCGUAAUGGUGUGUCCGAACGUCGUAAUCGCACUCUGUUAGAUAUGGUGCGAUCUAUGAUGUCUCUUACCGAUUUACCGCUUUCUUUUUGGGGCUAUGCUUUAGAGACUGCCGCAUUCACUUUAAAUAGGGCUCCGUCGAAAUCCGUUGAGACGACACCGUAUGAAUUAUGGUUUGGGAAGAAACCUAAGCUGUCGUUUCUAAAAGUUUGGGGAUGCGAUGCUUAUGUCAAGAAACUUCAACCUGAAAAGCUCGAACCCAAGUCGGAAAAAUGCGUCUUCAUAGGAUACCCAAAAGAAACUAUUGGGUACACCUUCUACCUCAGAUCCGAAGGCAAGAUCUUUGUUGCCAAGAAUGGGUCCUUUCUAGAGAAAGAGUUUCUCUCGAAAGAAGUAAGUGGGAGGAAAGUAGAGCUUGAUGAAGUAUUACCUCUUGAGCCAGAAAAUGGCGCAACUCAAGAAAAUGUUCCUGAGGUGCCUGCACCGACUGGAGAGGAAAUUAAUGACAAUGAUCAAGAUACUUCUGAUCAAGCCCCUACUAAAAUUCGAAGGUCCACAAGGACACGUUCCGCACCAGAGUGGUACGGCAACCCUGUCUUGGAAAUCAUGCUGUUAGACAACGGUGAACCUUCGAACUAUGAAGAAGCGAUGGCGGGCCCGGAUUCCGACAAGUGGCUGGAAGCCAUGAAAUCCGAGAUAGGAUCCAUGUAUGAAAACGAAGUAUGGACUUUGACUGACUUGCCUGUUGAACGGCGAGCCAUAGAAAAUAAAUGGAUCUUUAAGAGGAAGACAGACGCGGAUGGUAAUGUGACCAUCUAUAAAGCUCGGCUUGUCGCUAAGGGUUAUCGACAAGUUCAAGGGGUUGACUACGAUGAGACUUUCUCACCGGUAGCGAAGCUGAAGUCCGUCCGAAUCAUGUUAGCAAUUGCCGCAUUCUAUGAUUACGAUAUAUGGCAAAUGGACGUCAAAACGGCAUUCCUUAAUGGUUUCCUUAAGGAAGAAUUGUAUAUGAUGCAGCCGGAAGGUUUUGUCGAUCCUAAGAAUGCUGACAAAGUGUGCAAGCUCCAACGCUCGAUUUAUGGGCUGGUGCAAGCAUCUCGGAGUUGGAACAUUCGCUUUGAUGAGAUGAUCAAAGCGUUUGGGUUUACACAGACUUAUGGAGAAGCCUGCGUUUACAAGAAAGUGAGUGGGAGCUCUGUAGCAUUUCUCAUAUUAUAUGUAGAUGACAUACUAUUGAUGGGAAAUGAUAUAGAACUCUUGGACAGCAUCAAGGCCUACUUGAAUAAAAGUUUUUCAAUGAAGGACCUUGGAGAAGCUGCUUAUAUAUUAGGCAUCAAAAUCUAUAGAGAUAGAUCGAGACGCCUCAUAGGUCUUUCACAAAGCACAUACCUUGAUAAGAUAUUGAAGAAGUUCAAUAUGGAUCAAUCCAAGAAGGGGUUCUUGCCUGUGUUACAAGGUGUGAAAUUGAGCUCAGCUCAAUGUCCGACCACGGCAGAAGAUAUAGAAGAGAUGAGCGUCAUCCCCUAUGCCUCAGCCAUAGGUUCUAUAAUGUAUGCCAUGCUGUGUACCAGACCUGAUGUAAACCUUGCCGUAAGUUUGGUAGGAAGGUACCAAAGUAAUCCCGGCAAGGAACACUGGACAGCGGUCAAGAAUAUCCUGAAGUACCUGAAAAGGACUAAGGAAAUGUUUCUCGUUUAUGGAGGUGACGAAGAGCUCGUCGUAAAGGGUUACGUCGACGCUAGCUUCGACACAGAUCUGGAUGACUCUAAGUCACAAACCGGAUACGUGUAUAUUUUGAAUGGUGGGGCAGUAAGCUGGUGCAGUUGCAAGCAAAGCGUCGUGGCGGGAUCUACAUGUGAAGCGGAGUACAUGGCAGCCUCGGAGGCAGCACAUGAAGCAAUAUGGGUGAAGGAGUUCAUCACCGACCUAGGAGUCAUACCCAAUGCGUCGGGGCCGAUCAAGCUCUUCUGUGACAACACUGGAGCUAUUGCACUUGCCAAGGAGCCCAGGUUUCACAAGAAGACAAGGCACAUCAAGCGUCGCUUCAACUCCAUUCGUGAAAAUGUUCAAGAUGGAGACAUAGAGAUUUGUAAAGUACAUACGGACCUAAAUGUAGCGGAUCCGUUGACUAAACCUCUCCCUAGAGCAAAACAUGAUCAACACCAGAAUUCCAUGGGUGUUCGAUUCAUCACAAUGUAACUAGAUUAUUGACUCUAGUGCAAGUGGGAGACUGUUGGAAAUAUGCCCUAGAGGCAAUAAUAAAAGCAUUAUUAUUAUAUUUCCUUGUUCAUGAUAAUUGUCUUUAUUCAUGCUAUAAUUGUGUUAUCCGGAAAUCGUAAUACAUGUGUGAAUAACAGACAUCAACAUGUCCCUAGUGAGCCUCUAGUUGACUAGCUCGUUGAUCAACAGAUAGUCAUGGUUUCCUGACUAUGGACACUGGAUGUCAUUGAUAACGAGAUCACAUCAUUAGGAGAAUGAUGUGAUGGACAAGACCCAAUCCUAAACAUAGCACAAGAUCGUAUAAGUUCGUUUGCUAGAGUUUUCCAAUGUCAAGUAUCUUUUCCUUAGACCAUGAGAUCGUGUAACUCCCGGAUACCGUAGGAGUGCUUUGGGUAUGCCAAACGUCACAACGUAACUGGGUGACUAUAAAGGUAGACUACGGGUAUCUCCGAAAGUGUCUGUUGGGUGACAUGGAUCAAGACUGGGAUUUGUCACUCCGUAUGACGGAGAGGUAUCACUGGGCCCACUCGGUAAUGCAUCAUCAUAAUGAGCUCAGAGUGACCAAGUGUCUGGUCACGGGAUCAUGCAUUGCGGUACGAGUAAAGUGACUUGCUGGUAACGAGAUUGAACGAGGUAUUGGGAUACCGACGAUCGAAUCUCGGGCAAGUAACAUAUCGAUAGACAAAGGGAAUAGCGUACGGGGUUGAUAGGAUCCUCGACAUCGUGGUUCAUCCGAUGAGAUCAUCGUGGAGCAUGUGGGAGCCAACAUGGGUAUCCAGAUCCCGCUGUUGGUUAUUGACCGGAGAGUCGUCUCGGUCAUGUCUGCUUGUCUCCCGAACCCGUAGGGUCUACACACUUAAGGUUCAGUUACGCUAGGGUUGUAGGGAUAUGUAUAUGCAGUAAUCCAAAUGUUGUUCGGAGUCCCGGAUGAGAUCCCGGACGUCACGAGGAGUUCCAGAAUGGUCCGGAGGUAAAGAUUUAUAUAUGGGAAGUCCUGUUUCGGGCAUCGGGACAAGUUUCGGGGUUAUCGGUAUUGUACCGGGACCACCGGAAGGGUCCCGGGGGUCCACCGGGUGGGUCCACCUGUCCCGGGGGGGCCACAUGGGCUGUAGGGGGUGCGCCUUGGCCUAAUGGGCCAAGGGCACCAGCCCCACAUAGGCCCAUGCGCCUAGGGUUUUAAGGGGAAAGAGUCCUAGGAGGGGAAGGCACCUCCUAGGUGCCUUGGGGGGAAGGGAAACCCCCCUUGGCCGCCGCACCCCCUAGGAGAUUGGAUCUCCUAGGGCCGGCCACCCCCCCUUGGCCCUCCUAUAUAUAGUGGGGGAGAGGAGGGACUUCAUACCUGAACGCCUUGGCCUUUGGUUGCCUCCUUCUCCCUCUCCAACACCUCCUCCACCUCCAUAGUGCUUAGCGAAGCUCUGCCGGAGUACUGCAGCUCCAUCAACACCACGCCGUCGUGCUGCUGCUGGUGCCAUCUCCCUCAACCUCUCCUCCCUCCCUUGCUGGAUCAAGAAGGAGGAGACGUGGCUGUUCCGUACGUGUGUUGAACGCGGAGGUGCCGUCCGUUCGGCGCUGGUCAUCGGUGAUUUGGAUCACGUCGAGUACGACUACAUCAUCACCGUUCUUUUGAACGCUUCCGCUCGUGAUCUACAAAGGUAUGUAGAUGCAUCUAAUCACUCAUUGCUAGAUGAACUCCUAGAUGAUCUUGGUGAAACGAGUAGGAAAAUUUUUGUUUUCUGCAACGUUCCCCAACAGUGUCAUGCAUGGUACGUGCUUGCAACCAGCUGGCGAAACUCCUGGUUUGUUCACGUGUAAUCCAGUCAUCAGACCGCUCCGGGUGUUUGGAGCGUAGCAAAUUCUUGUAUUCAUCCAUAUACGGAGCCACCAAGGCGGAAUUCUGUAGAACUGUGUAGUGUGCUUCAGUGAGAGAAUGUCCGUCCAUACAUAUUAUUUGUUCCCCUCCCAGCGUGCCUUUUCCAUCCAGUCUGCCCUUAUGCCGCGAUUCAGGAACACCAAUCGGCUUAAGGUCAGGAAUAAAGUCAAUACAAAACUCAAUGACCUCCUCAUUUUGACGGCCCUUGGAGAUGCUUCCUUCUGGCCUAGCACGGUUAUGAACAUAUUUCUUUAAGACUCCCAUGAACCUCUCAAAGGGGAACAUAUUGUGUAGAAAUACAGGACCCAAAACGUUAAUCUCUUCGCAUAGGUGAACUAGGACGUGCGUCAUGAUGUUGAAGAAGGAUGGUGGGAACACCAACUCGAAACUGACAAGACAUUGCACCAAAUCAUUCUGUAACCUUGGUAUGAUUUCUGGAUCGAUUACCUUCUGAGAGAUUGCAUUGAGAAAUGCACAUAGCUUCACAAUGGCUAAUCGAACAUUUUCCGGUAGAAGCCCCCUCAAUGCAACCGGAAGCAGUUGCGUCAUAAUCACGUGGCAGUCAUGAGACUUUAGGUUCUGGAACUUUUUCUCUGCCAUGUUUAUUAUUCCCUUUAUAUUCGACGAGAAGCCAGAUGGUACCUUAAUACUGAGCAGGCAUUCAAAGAAGAUUUCCUUCUCUUCUUUGGUAAGAGCGUAGCUUGCAUGACCCUGAUGUAUGCCGUCUUUUUCGUGCAUACGUUGCUGGUCCUCCCGUGCCUCAGGUGUAUCUUUUGUCUUCCCAUACACGCCCAAGAAGCCAAGCAGGGUCACACAAAGAUUCUUCAUCACGUGCAUCACGUCGAUUGCGGAGCGGACCUCGAGGUCUUUCCAAUAGGGCAGGUCCCAAAAUAUAGAUUUCUUCUUCCACAUGGGUGCGCGUCCGUCAGUGUCAUUCGGAACAGGUUGUCCACCAGGACCCUUUCCAAAGACCACCUUCAAAUCCUUGACCAUAUCAUGUACAUCAGCACCAGUACAGUGGCGAGGCUUCAUCCGGUGAUCCGCCUCACUUUUGAAAUGCUUGCCUUUCUUUCUUACGGGAUGCCUGCUCGGAAGAAAUCGACGAUGUCCCAGGUACACAUUCUUAUUAGCCAAAUAUAUAAUGUCGGUAUCGUCCAAACAGUGCGUGCAUGCGCGGUAUCCCUUGUUUGUCUGUCCUGAAAGGUUACUAUGAGCAGGCCAAUCAUUGAUGGUCACGAACAGCAACGCCUUUAGGUUAAAUUCUUCCCCCAUGUGCUCAUCCCACGCACGUACACCUGUUCCAUUCCACAGUUGUAAGAGUUCUUCAACUAAUGGCCUUAGGUACACAUCAAUGUCGUUGCCGGGUUGCUUAGGGCCUUGGAUGAGCACUGGCAUCAUAAUGAACUUCCGCUUCAUGCACAACCAAGGAGGAAGGUUAUAAAAACAUAGAGUCACAGGCAAGGUUCUAUGGUUGCUGCUCUGCUCCCCAAAAGGAUUAAUGCCAUCUGCGCUUAGACCAAACCAUACGCUCCUUGCGUCAUCUGCAAACUCCUUCCCGUACUUUCUUUCGAUUUUUCUCCACUGCGACCCGUCAGCGAGUACUCUCAACUUUCCGUCUUUCUUACGGUCUUCUCUGUGCCAUCGCAUCGCCUUGGCAUGCUCUUUGUUUUGGAACAAACGUUUCAACCGUGGUAUUAUAGGAGCAUACCACAUCACCUUGGCAGGAAUCUUCUUCCUGGGGCGCCGGCCCUCGACAUCAUCAGGGUCAUCGCGGCUGAUCUUAUAGCGCAAUGCACCACAUACCGGGCAAGCGUUCAAAUCCUCGUACUCACCACGGUAGAGGAUGCAAUCAUUAGGGCAUGCAUGUAUCUUCUGCACCUCUAACCCUAGAGGGCAGACAGCCUUCUUUGCUUCGUACGUACUCUCGGGUAAUUCGUUGUCCUUUGGAAGCAUAUCCUUUAUCAUUACCAGCAACUUUCCAAAUCCCUUGUCAGAUACACCAUUCUCUGCCUUCCAUUGCAGCAAUUCCAGUGUGGUGCCCAACUUUUUCUUGUCACCUACGCAAUUCGGGUAAAACAAUUUUUUGUGAUCCUCUAACAUGCGCUGCAACUUCUUCUUCUUCUUCUUCUCCAAAUUACUUGCGCAGUUUCUCUUUGCAUCGGCAAUGGGCCGACCUAGAUCAUCAACGGCCUCAUCUGAUGCAUCUUCUUCAGCUUCUUCCCGCAUUGCCGGCUCAGCUUCUUCCCGCAUUACCGGCUCAGCUUCUCCCCCCAUUGUUGUAUCAUCAUAUUCAGGGAACCCAUGGCCAGGAUAGCUGUCGUCGUCCUCUUCUUCUUCAUUGUCUUCCAUCAUAACCCCUCUUUCUCCGUGCUUGGUCCAAACAUUAUAAUGGGGCAUGAAACCGGACUUAAACAGGUGGACGUGAAUGGUUCUUGACGUAGAGUAAUUGUGACCAUUCUUACAACGAGCACAUGGACAAGGUAUAAAACCAUCCGCCCGCUUGUUUGCCUCAGCCACAAGCAGAAAAGUAUGCACGCCCUCAACGAACUGGGGAGAGCAUCGCUCAUCGUACAUCCAUUGCCGGCUCAUCUUCAUUACACAACACCGAAUAGACCAAAUUAAUACAAGUUCAUACAACACUUAAAUGCAACAAACAAAUAACUCUCUAGCUAAAGCAUUUAAAUGCAACAACAAAUACGAUCAAGAUCGCAACUAAGAUAACAAUGGAUCCAACAGCAUAAUGAUACCAAGCCUCACUAUCGAUGGCAUAUUUUCUAAUCUUUCUAAUCUUCAAGCGCAUUUUCUCCAUCUUCAUCUUGUGAUCAUCGACGACAUCGGCAACAUGCAACUCCAAUUCCAUCUUCUCCCCCUUAAUUCUUUUCAAUUUUUCUUUCAAGUACUCGUUUUCUCUUUCAACUAAAUUUAAUCUCUCGGCAAUAGGGUCGGUUGGAAUUUCCGGUUCACAUACCUCCUAGAAAAAAUUUCUAUGUCAACUUGAUGGGCAUAAUUUGUCAUAAACACGAAAUGCAACUAGUUUUAAAAGAGAAUAUACAUACCACAUCCGAAUCAUAACAAGGACUAGGGCCGACGGGGACGGAUAUCAAAACCAUGGCACUAUAUGUAUAACAAACAACGUACGGGUAAGAUAAUUAUACGAGUAACUAUAUAUCCAAAUCACACAAACAUCAAUUUUUAUAUAAAAUUUCAUGAACAAGAGGCUCACCAUAAGGUGGUGCCGGCGACAGGACGGUGCGGGCGAUCGACGGUGGCUACGAUGGAGAUUUAGAAGGCACUAAGUAAACCACACCUACAUAUGCAAACUAAGUGUUAUUUUUGACCUCAAAUUGCAUAUAAAUCAAAUACUAGCACAUAUAUAUAUAUCCUCCCAAAUUACUAAACUCACAAAUUAAUCACUAUAUAAAGCAUUGCAAGAGCUAAUCUAGCAAUGAGAGAUGAAAGGACAAAGUUGCUAACCUUUGUGAUCAUUUGAAUGGAUGGGGGCCUUCAAAUCUUGACAAAUUUUGGGCAAAAUGUAUGAUGAGCUCGAGAGGAAGAGGGAAAGAACAGAGAGGAGAGGGGAAAGGGGAAGAACAGAGCGAGCUCGGGUGGACGAAGGGUUUAUGUAGGACGACCUUUAGUAUCGGUUUGUGCCAAGAACCGGUACUAAAGGGGCUGGAGGGGCCCCAUUCUGACAACAUCCUGCCAUCACUCUCAUUAGUACCGGUUCGUGGCACGAACCGGUGCUAAAGGUUCGCCACGAACCGGUACUAAUGAAAGCGGCCCGGCUAGCCGUUGGAACCGGCACUAAUGUAUACAUUAGUGUCGGCUUAAAUACAAACCGGCACUAAUGUGCUUCACGUUUGACCCUUUUUCUACUAGUGAUCUUAGCUUAGUACGCUGUUGUAACCAGGCCCGGGCAAACAAUUUUGUAUAGCCUAUACAUACUCUAGAUCUAGUUUUUAUUUUCCUUCUCUAAAUAUUAAUAUAUGCAGUACAUAGUGAUGCGCUUUCGUAAAAAAAACCUGGGUCGCCGCCGGAGCUGGCCUAGGUCCGGCCGCCGUUGCUCUCGAUCCAAGGUCGUUGCCACGCAAGAGAGAUGAGAGGAUCUUCAAGACCAGGACAAAGCCGACGAACGGCAGACGACAUUGGAGAAUUAGCUCAGGGCUUCGCAUCGAGUCGCUGGGUCGCAAGCCGUACAUCCUCGUCGCAGGUGUGCGGCGUUGGUGGGUGUCGGCACAUUGCUGGAGGACAGCCAUGUCCCGACGCUCGUGAGAAGAUGGAGGAGGGUAGGCGACGCUGACAAUCCUGGCAGCGGCCAUAUUGGGGUGGGGAUAGGGCUUGGCCAGCGAGAGAAAGUUGGAACGGGAGGGAUCCUAUUUUUCUUGGAGGGCUUUUUUCACGAGGGGCUAUCGGCGUGGGGGCGAGGGGGAAAGGAACCGAUCGCGGGGGUGGGUCGCCGAAGGGAGGGCAGGACGCGGUCAUUGGCAGGAAAAGGAACUGUAUGUGGUUUUUUAGAUAAUAGGACAAUGCCCGUGCGUAGUAACGGGAGGAUAGAUAUUCAUACCCCCACCUGGGAAUAUAUAUUUAGGCCUCGUACACAUCGUGUCGAACAAAAAUAUCUUUAGGAUCCUCAUGCACACCAUACAAUAUUGUCAGGGUUUCACUAUCACUCUUUAUUAUAUUGUAACCAUGAUAGAUAGUACUUACUUCAUAAUAUGCAUUCGGCCUUGUCUUUCUUUUUCAACAAGUGGUGUAGUCAAUUGAGGUGCAGACCACAAAGCACGUAGUUCUACUGAUAACUUGUCUGCUGAGACAUAUAAUUUUUUCAUGUUCAGUUAUUAAUGUUAGACAAAAAGGAAUGAAUAUGUUGUACAUUAUGAUUUGUACUUCCUCUGCAUUAUGCCAAGCAGAAAAACAUUAGUCUAUCUAUACAAAGCGACAGUAACUGUUAAUUUCUUUUACUAAUCUCCCAAUCUCACUCACAUAAACAUAUAUAGCCUAUAAUUUCUGAAACCACCCUUGAUAUGACCGAGUAGCACACGUUUCCUUGGCCCCAGUAUAUUUCUUGUUCGUAUUCCUUAUCUACCUUGCAUCCAAACAAAAAUCAUGGAAACCACAUGGACAACAAUUAACCAAUCAGCCACAUGCAAUUCAGAUUAGCACAGAAGAGAAUCUAUACACUCUCAGCUCACAGACUAAUCCAAUGAAAAACAUCUCAUUUGAGAAAUGACCAAGGGGUGAAGUACACUGAUUUUCACCUUGUGCAGACUGAGUUUUGUCAGUACUGCAGAUCCUUGUAGUCAUAAUGGCUUCAUGUGGUCAACUUGCCUUGCACCCGCCCUUUGUACGCAGCAGCCGACGUACUUGUACUUGCACUUGCACUUGCAUGGCUGGACUUGUACACAGGAUUCUGAGUCAUUCAGAUUAUGUUCAGCUGGUUAGAAACAACCUUAGAAUAGAAACAUAUCAAUUGUUCUCUUUUUCUGGAGCCUGGCCAGAUUGAGAGCUCGCCACUUUGCAGAAUAAUAACUUCAGAGUCCCUGUACCAGAAAGAAAUUAAAUCAAAAUGAACAAAAGCACUCAAACAAUUGUGAAACAAUUUCCACAAACAAAAUCCACCACACCCCGUUCUAGCAACCCGGUAUAGAUUGAACAGAUAGAUAAAACUGGAAGCAAUUAGGACUAUACAAUGCUAGGAACAACCUGGUUGUCCAGAAAGGGAUUUGCCAAAUUCGAUUAGAAUUUCAUGUCGGGAAAAAAUAUAGGGAUUUGCCAUUAUGGCAGGUCGAAGCAGAAUAGAGCUAGUGGAAACUGAAAGUCUGAAAUCUGAAAUUAUCUACCCACUGCACCUGACGGCUGGCCCUAGCAUUUGAGUUCAUAUGUCCAAAUAAUGCAAUGUGAGGUCGUGUUGGAGAGGAACACGAGAUCACGGAUCACCCGCAAAAAAACACGAGAUCACGGAGGACAAGCUCACCCGGCAGGGGGAGAUGUGGGCGCGCUUGGUAGCACGACGACGGGGAGCUCGAGGAAGAGCACGACUGGAUCCGCCGCCACCCACCAUUGGAGCGAACCAGCUGUGGUCGCCGACGUUCAGCCGCCUCGGUUUCUCAGUGUCCUCGUGGCGUAGCGGCCUCCGCCAACGGCCUGGAUCCUGCGUCAACAGCUUGGACCUUCGCCUCCGUCUCCUGCACUGCCUCAUCGUUGGCCACUUCUCUUCGCCUCACAGCAGCAGCACAAGGGCGUCCAGCACUUCGAGAAGAUGGAUCUGCGUAGGCUUGCAUGCACUCAUAAAGUCUAGUUAGCUUAAGAUAUCCCUAGUGAUGCUGCUGCUGCGUACCUUGCAAGAUUGAUAUGCGUACGUUUGCACGCACUGAUCGCGCAAGCUAGAAGAUGGGGCGAGGCAGGGUGGAGGCGUCCUAUUGUGGACAGCGUCGGCGGGAGACGGCACAAUCCGGCAGAAGACGGCGGUGCUUACGGAGGCCUCCUGGAAGAUGGGGUGAGGCGGAUGUGACCUGUUGGAUGGCGGCGGCGACCGCGACGCGAUCGGGUGCCGGUGGCGACGUGCACAAGCACGAUGCGGCGGUUAUGAUCCAGUGCAGGGACAUAGAUGGGCUUUCAAUGCUAGAUGGGCGGUGCAUGAUUAUCGUUGACUGAUUGGCUAUUAUGACUGGUUUUAAAAGUUUUACCAUAAACCCGUGGGAGGAAAUCUGGGACGUGAGAAAAUCCGGGACGUGAAAAACUAACUGGAUCGGGGAGGUGUGACGAAGGCUGGCAGGACGCGGUCCUUUGGCAGGAAAAAGAAACCCCAACAUGGAAAGUUCUAAUCCAUUCAGAUUCUUAAAAUCGGUUAUCUUAUUUCUAAUUAAUGUGAUUGAGCAAUUUAAGGUAAGAUUAAUUAGUUUAAAUUUGAUCUUUAGAGAUUGAUCAUGAUUGAUUUUUUCAUAUAAAGACAUUACUAAAUAAGUUGCCUCAGCAUGCAAAGUUCUGAUCCAUUCAGAUUUUUUUUUGUUGUGUGAGAGGGUGACGCGAAAUUAAACCGAUGGGGUGGGGUGGGGGAGGGGACGAAAAAAUCAGCGAAAAAAAAUCAGACGAAAGUGGUGGGACUAUUCAACCAACUCGUCCAUUAGAAAUAGAGAUAUUGCAACCUAUUCCGCAGCAACACGCGGGACAUUAUCUACUUCCUCCAUCCCAUAAUGUAAGACUUUUUUUAUGCACUUCACUCGUCAAAAAACAUCUUAUAUUAUGGGACGGAGGGAGUAGUUAUGAAUAAGGACGGGUGACCGGAUAAGAAGAGUAAAAGGCCACUGUACAAAAUGCAGAUCGAGAUCAAAGGCAUCAACAAGUGUGUACAGGGGCGAUUUCACCGUCCGGGCACCCUGGGCCCGUGCCCGGGCACGACCGCUGCAGAUUUUUCGAGUAGCCGGAGUCACAAUCGAUGAAUACGUGCGAUAUAGGGCAAAAAUAUGACAGCUUAGUGAACUAGGCUAGUUUGGGCGUUCUUUUGCCUUUUGGGAUUACUCACGCCAAACCAGAACGUCUAAGGGCCAUCCAUUAUUUCUUUACAUGGGCCACGUUAGGGUAGUCAGAUCGAUCUCGAGCCUGCUGGCUGCAUCACUCGCCUCGCCUGUUUGGCUACCUCGCACGUUGUUCGCCGCGCCGCAAGAUUGUACCCUAGCAAUUCCGGCAUUGGAGGUGGUGGCCGGCGAGAUGGACUGGUGAAGCACCGAUGACCGGCAAGACUGCAAGAGAUGGUGCACGACCGGGCCUCUAAUUAGGCUACGAUUCCACCAAGCAACGAUCGGGAUCUGAAGCAGAAGCGUAGGAGUCAAAGCGGCAUCCCCUAUGGUGUGAAUUCCUCCCCGCCGGAUGGUGGCUCAUCCUCAUCAUCGUCUGCACUUCAGCGAGCACUAGUCACGUGUGCAGCACCAGCAAGUGCCCAACCUGCACAAGGCCAUGGCCAAGAGGCAGCAAACAGCCAACGGCGAUGGCCACCAAUGGCAGCGUAAAACGACAACUAGGUGAGUUAUCGGAUUUCUAUUAGGUUUGUUCAACUACAUAAUUGAGCAUAUUAUUUAGUGACACUAGUGUGUUGGCGGUUUGAUAGACCAAAGUACAUUUUAGUUUACGAGAAAUCUAAUGACCAAUGGACUGGUGGUUUGGCAACAGAUCCGCACUGUUAGGAUGCCGUCCCUUCCGAAUCCAACGACGCGCGUUUUGCCUACGCGUUUACUGCGAGCGGACGUCGCUGUCACCGUCAUCCGAACGUCGCUGUCGAUCCUGCUCCCACCGAACGUCGUUGUCGCUAUUUUUUCGUUUUUCUUUUUCCGAUCAAAGGGACGUCGCUGUCGCUACUGAUUUCCUUUCCGAUCCAAAGGCACGUCACUGUCGCUGAUGAUUUUUUUUUUCAUUUUUCCUUUUCCAACCCAAAUGACGCUGCCCACUGUUUUCGUUUCUCGCGUACUGACGUUAGUUCCAACGAGUAAAAAAAAUGUGCAUAAUAGGGUUUGAACCCAGGUCUAUUGAUUGUUGUACCAUGCCAAUAACCAAUUCACCUAAUACUACUUGUUGUCUUACAAAUGGAAACUAUCUAUGUGACCUUUUUAAACCGCAUGGCAGGAAAUAAUAAAUUGUUUUUUGUUGUUUGUUGGCCUUUUCUUGUACUUCCUUCGUCUCAAAAUACGUGACUUGACUUUGUACUAAUUUUAUACAGAGGGAGUACAUUAUUGCAUACUACAUUACAAGUUGUGAAAUAUCAUGAUAACUCACACAUCACAGACCUGAUAAUUUAUGUAUCCGAAUCCUGAUAACUUUGGUGUGAUGGUGGUGGCGGCGGUGGUGGNNNNNNNNNNNNNNNNNNNNNNNNNNNNNNNNNNNNNNNNNNNNNNNNNNNNNNNNNNNNNNNNNNNNNNNNNNNNNNNNNNNNNNNNNNNNNNNNNNNNNNNNNNNNNNNNNNNNNNNNNNNNNNNNNNNNNNNNNNNNNNNNNNNNNNNNNNNNNNNNNNNNNNNNNNNNNNNNNNNNNNNNNNNNNNNNNNNNNNNNNNNNNNNNNNNNNNNNNNNNNNNNNNNNNUAUGCACGCUGGUCAUGGUACUUUUGGCGAGAGAUGGGUGAUGAAAUAUACCCCCGGUAACUUUAAUGUGCAUAGCACGGUAACUCACACAUCAUAGACCUGAUAACUAAUGUACCCCAGUCUUGGUAAAUUUUGGUGACCGGAUGGGGGGGAGGGUGGUUGAUGAAAUAUACCCUUGGUAACUUCUUGUGCGAAUAACUUGAUAAUUCACACAUUGCAGAUCUGAUAACUAAUGUACCCCAGUCUUGGUAAAUUUUGGUGACCGGGUGGGGGAGGGCGGUUGAUGAAAUAUACCCUUGGUAAAUUUUUGUGUGAAUAACAUGAUAAUUCACAUAUUGCAGACCUGAUAACUUAUGUGCCCCAGUCCUAGUAACUUUUAGCGACGGUGGUGAGGAUGGGGGAGGAUUGUUGCUGAAAUAUACCAUUGGUAACUUUUUUGUCAAUAGCAUGGUAACUCACGCAUCAUAGACCUGAUAAGUCUGGUACAAACAACGCGGUAACUUAAGACCCCGAAUAAAAAGUAUUGAAAUAUACCACGGUUACUUCUGUGCAAAUAGCACGGUAAUGUAUGCAUCCGGAGCUGAUAACUUAGGUAUAAAUACCACAAUAAAUUUGACUCGGGGGAAAGAAGUCGUUGAAAACACAUCUCCAAUCACUUCGGCAUAAAUAACAUGUUAAUAUACAUAUAACAUAACUGAUAACUUUACUGUAACUUUUGACCAAAAAUGUGAUCAAAAUAUGUCAGCAUGAGGUCUAGUUUCGAAGUUCUCACUGCGAUGGAUUUUUUAUGAGAAAACAAUUUUUCAAUCAGAAACGACAGUUUGAAGAAUAAAACAUUUUACAGUUUUAAAAUAGCAAGAAUUUACAAUGCCAUUAGGUUUCCUAUGCUCUACUGCAUUUGCAUGUGGAGAAAAUGUUGGAGGAGCCAUUUUUAUGCCCGGUAAUUUCUAUGUAAACAGGAUGAUAACUUAUGUACCACAGAUGUGAUAACUUACCUAGCGUGGCGCUGGUAAGUUUUGACCCGAAAAAAAAAGUUGUCGAAACAUAUCAACAUGGGAUCUAGUUUCGAAGGUCUCGUCGCGACAAAUCUUUUAUGUGAAAACAGUUUUUCAAUCAGAGCGACGGUUAGAGCUACAAAACAUUUUAAAUUUCUGAAUUCGAUGAAAUCUCUGCUGACAUCAUCAUUUUUCUUCUUAUAUGCAUGCAUGCAACUAUUGGGGAAAAGAAUCCGUGUGCAUUCUCAGUUUUUUCAAAAAAACCAACCGCAUGCAUGCAUGCACCUACUUUGAGUGAAUAGAGAAAAACUCGUCCGGAUCUGUCACUAACGACCAGUCAACUGAUCGUUAGCACAGUCUUUUAGUUUAUAGCAUGUCCAGGCUUUGGCAAUUUGCUAGCUUCGCCACUUAGUGUGUAAGUAAUCCAGCAAUGGAGUAGGUAGCCGUAGGUGCUCAUAUGUUCAACGCCUGGUUUCUCUUUUCCGCAUACCUACCUCGGCAUCUUUCGUUAGCAGUUGGCGGCUGCGUUUUUUUUCCUUUUUCUUUGGCGCCUGUGGACCGUUAAUCAUUCUGCUUUAAAGAUUUUGCAGCAAACCAAAGAACACGAUGAAAUGCGGAACAAAACAAAAUAAAAUACACCGCUGGCCCUGAACACGUUAUAAUUUCGUUUCUCCUCCCUCGGCCGGUCGGCCCUCGCUAGCUCCGUCGCCGGUGGUGCUAUUCCGGCCAGUCAGCACAAACGCUGAAAUCACUAGAGACACUGCAUUUUGGCGAGCGUGGUCGGACCGGCGAAACCAUUCCUGCUCCGAAGCGAGGAAGGGUCGUGCUCGCGCUCCCAUCCCCCGUGGAAACCCCGGCGAUGUUGAUUUGAAUCCAAAGUGACGCCAGCGCGACUAGGAAUUAAGGGCAUCUCCAGCCGUUGGCCCCUUAGGGGACUCGGUAAAUCGCCGUCUGACGCUAAAAAUCCGCUUGCGACGAUCAGGUUCCCAGCCGCCGUCUCAGGGUCGCCCCUAGUCGUCCUUUUUUAAAUAUUUUUUAAAAUAAAUUCAGUUAAAAUUCGGCAAACAUUAUAAAGAUUCAGCAAACAGGACAUAAAUUUGGCGUUCUACAUUUUUUACAUAGAAAACUUAAAAUUUACUAAAUAAAAAACUCGCAGAGCGCGACAUAGUCGUCGUCUUCGCCGCCGUCGUCCUUCUCCUUCUUCACGCUGCUGGACCCCUGCCUGGGGUCGUUCUGGUGGACAGGUUUGGCCGGUGGCGGCGCGUCGUCAUCCCUGUCUUCAAGCACGAUGACGCCGACAUCGAUGACGCCCCCUGCCUCGCACCCACGGCAGCGCACGGCGAUCUCUGCCAGGGCGCGGCGCUGGCGCUCCAUCUCCAGCCGCGCCCAAUCUUCCCCCGUCCACCUCAUGGCUGCCUCGUCGUCGAGCUCCGGCUCCGUCUUACUUCGGGAGGGCCCGUUGCUUCUCCGUCAGAGACGCCAGCGCACGCUCGAUCUCGGCGCGGAAGUAGUCGGGGAGCAUGACGUCAGGCGGCGGGGGGACGGGCAGUAGCGAAUCUAGGAUGAAUUUGAAGAGCAGGCUCAACUUCAGUAUAUAGACUGAAACUGGGUUAUGAUGGGCUGAAACUAGGCUGAGAUGGGCUGGGAGGAUUUUAAUUUCGGAGGGCAGGCUUGAACCCAUCCAAGCCUGCCCCUUGGAUUCGCCGCUGGGGACGGGGACGCCCCCAGCGCUGAGCCUCCACCAUCCUGGCGCGCGCAUGUCGGGAGGCACCAGGUAGUUGGCUUCGUGCAAGAGAUGGGCUUCUCACUCGUGCAGAGAGCGGCGGGCCGAAGCCAUUCGCCGCCGCCCCAUUGUCGGGGAACCUUUCGCCCAUCGUCUGCGGCGGCUGUGAACGGGGAGGGAGAGGAAAGAGGGCUACUCAACUGUGGCUGUGCACGGGAAGAGAGGGGUUGUGGGCGGGUGUGUCCACCGGUGAGGGAGGCGCUGCUUUAUAUAGCGGCCGGGGGAUGGCGUGGUGUGUACGUGUGGUGGGGAGAGGGCGCGUCGCCGCACAACACCGCCCGUGAGGAAUCAAUGAAAGGCUGACUGGUGGCAACAUUGGCAUUGAUUCCCCGCGGAAAAUCGAGACGAUGUGAGGACAACGAGGCGCGGGUCGCUGCCUCGACGGGCAUGCAGUUUUUUCGCGCCAAAAGCGAUCGCCCCGGCGCCCUCAAGCACUCCCCAGUGCGUCGGGUUCGGCCUGGGUCCAACGACGCCAGUUUCGACCCUAACCAAUGAAAACUGGGCUUCUGGAACGCGACUAGACCGCUUUUUGGACGCAUGUGUUAAAAAAAUGUCUGGAAGGCCUGUUGGAGACGCGGCUGAAGAUAGUCUAAGCAGGUAAGAUAAGGUAGGUGUGAGUGUGACCGUGACCAGUGUCGGCACACCCAGCACGACCGAGAUGAGAUCCUCCUCGUCGCUUGAUGGAGCCGCGCAUACAAACUCGUCAGCGCGAUCAGCGUCGUCCAGUGGAAGGCGACAGCGUGCGUGCGGUGGUUUUCAACGGCUGAGCACGGCGAGGCAGACACGUCAUUGCAUGCAUCUGGUAGUGACGAGCUGCUGGUCCAAUAUUUGGACACGACCAAGGUGGCGGAGGAGUUGGCCGAGACUUGUCGGUUUGGUCAACGAAACAAAGUGGACCUCGUGCUUCCAGUACAGGGACAUACAUACCUGAUUUUUGACAGAGGUUCGAGCUUUGCUUGACAGCGCUUGCUCCUGAUUAGAGCAUCUCCAACAGGCGUCCAAAAAGAACUUCGCGCAUUAAAAAUUAGUAUUUUUAGGCGUCCAAUAGCUCCAGCAGAUGUUGUACCGCUAAAAGUUUUGGACGCGCGCUGAAAAACACUAUCGCGCGCAGCAUAUUUUGGGUUUCGGAUUGCGCGCGCUUCACAAUUUGCAUUGUUUAUUUUUUGGACGCGCGUUUUCAAGCGUCUGCUAAAGCAAUGUUGGUCCCGACGCACUAAAAGUGUUAAAGUGACGCGCUAUAACUUUUAUUGGGCGCGAGAUUUUUAUGCGGCCAUUGGAGAUGCUCUUAGAAGAAUUGAUCGAGGGCAGUAGCAGUGAGACCUGGAUGCAUGAUUUUCCCGAGCUAGAAGAUACCCCUCGCGUCACUACGGGAUUCUAUACAUUAUUUUUUUAACAGAAUGUUGAUAUAUAAGUGGUGAAGAACAUGAAGAUCUAAUUCCAUAUCUUUUUACCUACUAAUAAAGCACGCAUUGCUUCCGUCGGGUUCACCGUCACAAUAUGCUUUCUUCUCACAUUAUAAUACGCUUUUAUAAUUUGUGUAGACAAAAUCAAAAUCCAAGGUGGUACUAUUCCCCGAGAGCUCUAACAGUCGAGCUUUGAUUGAAACCUUGCAUACGUAAUCGGGCCGGCCCAGUCGAGCUUUGGCUGAAACCUCGCGUAAGUAAUCGGGUCGGCCCAUAACCAGGAAACGAGAAUGUAAAAAUAGCACAAAAAACAAAACCACACAUGAUGGGUUCGAUCUCAUGACCUCACGCUAGGUAGCAGGGACGCCAACCACAUGAGCUAGCUGUUGAUUAUGCUCAAAUUGCAGCGCCCCUGUUAAAGUAGUUUAGCGACAGGUCUAUUUAUUUUUCUUAAAUAUUUUCAACAAUUCUUGGAAACAAGUGUGGGCGAUUUUCCUUAAAAUAUUUGAAUAUGAAUACGUUUUUAAAAUCGUGAAUAAAUAUCAAAAAUUCGAACAAAAUUUUGAAACCUGAACAAAUUUUGCAAUUCCAAACGUUUAUUUAUUUUUGAUAUACGUUGUAUUUUUAGAAGAAUAUACAUUGAACAUUUUUUAACAUAAAUUUAACAAUUUUACAUACAAAUUGAACAUUUUUCUCCCGUUGCAACGCACGGGUCUUUUUGCUAGUGUAAUAUACUAUAGAUCGAUGUGCCAUAAAAAAGAACAUAUUAGAUAUUAAUAAUAGCUGAAAGUAGAUAUAUAAAAAUUUACCGUGGGACGGAAUUCCUACAGUUUCCGGUGGAAAAGAAAAAAGAGUACCCCCUAUAUAAUAACAUGAAAGUACUAUUCUCCCUUUGAAAAAUAUUAUACAUUUGUUCCUUAGAAAAUUGAGAACAUAUUGUAUAUUCAUAUUGCCUGAAGGUAGUGUUCCUGCUCUUAGAUGCUCUAUAAGUGACAAUAGUAUUCCCUAAAACCAACUACACUUUUUAGAAAGUCAAAGCAUGUUACAUAUGCUUAUUUGGAUUCAAAUUUAUGUUUGAGAUGUCCCGCAAGGAAAAGUGAUUAUGUUAGGAGUUGUGCUUUCAGGCUACAUGCCUACAUCCUGGACAGUAUGGCCGACUCCACGCCACUUGAAGCCCCCGAGAGCCCCGCGCGCACAUUGGCCGCGAACCUCUCCAUGGCGCGCGGCGGCAGGCACAUCGGCACGGUGAUCGUCCCGCCGGCCGCAGGAAUGUGGAACGUGGCAAGCGUCGUCGUGGCCGGUCCACCGUACACCGGCAGGCCCCACCCGAGGUCCACCUCGUGCAGGUUCGACUUGGUGAGAUCCGUCACGAGAUACGUCCGCGCCGUCGUGAACCGCGGCCGCCCGCGCAGCACCAGCGCGUCGGCCACCGACUGCGCGUAGUCGUCGUCGGCGACCCGCGCCUUCGCGGCCACGAUCAGCUCCACGGCGCGGCCCAGCGGCCCCGAGCAGAGCUCGCCGGCCGUCGUCCGCGCCACGCCGAAGGUGAGCGCGUUCCCGUAGAACCCCUCGGGGAGCGGCCGGCCGCGCUUCCCGCGGGCGUUCACCACGAACAUGAACCGCACCUCGUCGCCGGGCGCGUAGCCGAGCGCCGCGGUCCGGCAGCGCCACGCGAACGCCGACAGGAGCAGGAACCGGGAGCACCGCGUUCUCAUCCGCGGCGGUAGCUGGUCCCUCAGCGAGGACAGCUCCUCGGGGCCGAAGAGGAACGCCCGGUGCACGAGCUCGGCGCCCGGACGGAGCCUGUCGUUGGCCGCGUCGGCCGCGAGCUCGUACUCGGGGUGCUGGUAGGUGGGGCAUGGGGGGUCGCGCGCGUCGAGCAGUUCCCUCGCCCACACAGGCCGCACCCUUGGUGCCUCCAUGCCGCCCGCCAGCUCGCCGACGGCCUGCAGGAGCUGCGUGACGCCCGGCGCGUCCACGAGGUUAUGGCACACCUGGAUGCCGAACACGAAGCCUCCGCACCUCAACCUCGUCACCUUCAUGCCAUCGUGCAUGGUGCAUGUCAGUCUCACGUACUUAGUAGUACAAAUUGCAGAUAAAUUAAUGAUAAUUAAGGAUGCACCACAAAUUCUUCAACCCUAGUCUGGGAUGCACCCAUGACUUACUUGAACGUAGAGCAGUGGACGGUCGACAACGACGGCGGAGUUGCUCUCCGGCAAGCACAGGAGCUGGCCGGCGCAAGGGACCGGCGGGCACAGCGUGUCGCCGAACUCGUCCAGCGCGACGUCCGCAUCGGCCUCGACGAAACACACCCCCUCGCCGGUGCAGUCCACAGCGAGCUUCCUGCCGGGCAGCUCGCGGAGCCGCCCGGCGAUGGGGUAGUAGUGCACGAGCGCCGCGGCCAGGCCGUGACGUAUGAUCCUGGCCGGGUCGGCUCGCGGCCGCGAGGGGCGGCCCCGGUAGAGGUAUAUGACGGAGCGAUAGAACCGGAGGCUCUCCUGGUCGUCGAGGUCCGAGAGCCGCUUGAGCUCGCGCGGCGUCGGCCCGACCGGCGCGACCAGCUCCGGCUCGCCGCGGCGCGCCACGAAUGCCAGGGACGUGGCGGCCAUAGUAGCUAGUAGCGCUAGUCUAGAUUACCGGUUUAAGCCUGCCGCUUAGUUAGCCUUGGCCGUUGGAAAAUGGCGGACGCUGGAUCGUAGUCGAUCGUCUAGUGUGUGCAUCUAUGAGCGUACGAACAUCCAGAUAUAUAGGAGUGGUGGGUCGAGUUUACGGCUUCACGAUGUGAAGAAUUCAUCGUGGUUUGGUCGCCGGUGGCGAAGCAAGAAAAUGGGAGUACGAUAUGAGAAUUGUUCAGCGCACGAGUCGCCGUGGUCCGGUCGCUUAUAGCAACUCCAAUAAAAUGACCCAUUCGCCCGCGGCGCGAACAAAAAAAGAGGCCCAAUGCAUCGACCCAAACUCAAAUUGAGUCUGUUUUCCGUCCGCGUCGACGCAUUUGCUGCUCAAAUUUGCACUACAAAAUGUGUCGACGCGGACACGUAACGCACACCAUCUCGUUGUUCGCCGCGUCUUCACCUGACGGUCGUCCAACUGCCCAUAGCCUACCUAGUCAGCUUAAUUUAUGACCUCAGGCACACGCGUCAGCGACGACGGUCGUUCUUUUUUAAGCCGACCGUGCGGUGGGACCGUCCUCGUUCGUUUUCAGCCAGCCCCCAUCCCCAUCUAGCCACACUCUGCUCCCCUGUCGCCGGCAAACCCUAGCCACCCCAAUAAAACCAGAUGGGCCUCUACUCCGGCGCCGGCAGCAGCAAGGCCAAGGGUAAGUCCCCCGCCAUUCCUUUUCCCGCAGAGUUCCUCCCGCCUCCGUCGGCGCCAGCUCGUCGGUCGAGGCAGCCCGUCAACGUGCCAGUGCACCGGGCGGAGUGGCACUGGCAGCACCGCGUGCCUCUCCUGUACCCCGACGCUACCCUGUCGCACGUCUGGUUGGGGGCGAUGUCGGCGCAGGAGGCGGCGUACCUCGAACAGUGGCGCCAGCGACGGCUGGCCGAGGAGCACCGCCACGGCGAGUACCUCGAGAUGCUCGAGCACGACGCCGAGGACGAGCGGCGCGAAGCCGAGGAGGAGGCGCGCCAGGCCACGGCGGCUCAGGCGGCUGCACAGCCCCCCACGGCGGCACAGCCCGCGCCCGACAUGAACGCCCUCUGGAACACGCCGUUCCCCUGGGCCGGCCCUGCGCCGACGCUCAUCGACCUCACGGACCCCGAGGAUGACGACGACGAUGCCUAGGGCAGCGCGCCGCCUCAUAGUUUAGGUUGUUUUUAAUUUUCUUUAAUGCAAAUGUGAACAUGUGGACUCUCGCCGGCCUUCAUGACCGGUUUUAAUGUUUAAUUAACAUUGUUUCUAUUUUAAAUAUGCAUGUUUUUUUCUCGCGCCGUUAAAAUAGGUCGGGCCAGCGUUGCGCGCAUGCGCCAAUUCAAAUACAAAAGCGGAUGUUCGUAUCCGCCUGACCGACUCAAACGGAUAAAAUCAUCAUCCGUUUGGGUCAGCCUCUUGGAGCUGCUAUUAGUGCGGAAUGCAUACUUUUGUCGGUCGAGGAUGCGUGAGCAUAAUUUGCUCGUUGCGCCUUUCACGUGCUUUGACAUAUCCUGGCCUGUAUGUAGAGCUCAUGGCUAGUCAGUGUAAGACAAGUGUUUAUGCGGAACGUUGAUUUGAGCUCUAACUUUUCACACGUACUAGGUAGGUAGCUGCUCUGAGAAAGCAGGUAGGUGAGCUAUUUGGCAGGGUUUUCACGUAUGUGGUUGUUGGUUUCACGCAUGAAAUGCCUAAGAUAUUUAACGACUGUUGAAGUGCUGCUUGAGUGCUGAUUAGACGUGACUUGUCUAUGCAUAGAUGUCAUGAUUAAAGCUGACUUAGCUAAUUCUACAUGAUUUUGUUGAAUUUUGAACGUAAAUUUUUUUGACAUGGUGAGGAACUUGAAUAGUCCGAAACAUAGGCCAAUAUAUUAGUUCCCCAUUGAUUUCCCUUUUGGGGGGAAAUUCAACAUUUGCCCUUUCUAGCCCAUUUCCCAAAUAAUUUGUUUUCACACAAAUUGAAACUACAUCGUUGCAUAAUUAAACAACGGUACCACACCAACAUCAAACAUAGCAUCAUUAAAUAGUCCAUUAUCUAAUACAUUACCAUUCCACUACAUCAACAUUAAAUAAGGUAAAUCAUCACUACAUACUAGAUAAAUAGCUCUACUCCUCGGCGGAGGAGAUGUCGAUCACCCCCUCGGCGAAGGGGCCAGAAGCAUGGUCAUUGACGGCGGGCCAUAUCCACCGAGGUAAACCCACUGGCCUACUGGUCCUUGGCUUCACGUUCGAGGUCCUCAAACAUAUCUGCAUGCUCGGCGUUGAGACACAUGAUCUUGUGGCGCUCACACUCAAUUGUGUGCUCACCAACGACGCGAGGAUCGCAUGGUUCUCAGCGAUGAUCUUAAGGUUCACGACGAACAUGACGUCGACAUUGAUGCGUUCGGCUGCUUGGUGCUCCGCCUCCUCAUACGUCGAGAGAAGGCGGAUGUUGUCACCCCGGCGGCGUCGUCAACCACCUCAAACCUGGUGAUGGGGUCAACCGCCAUCCCCUCCUCAUCCAAGUAAGACACAUGGGCGGGGUCAACCACCACCCCCUCCUCAUCNNNNNNNNNNNNNNNNNNNNNNNNNNNNNNNNNNNNNNNNNNNNNNNNNNNNNNNNNNNNNNNNNNNNNNNNNNNNNNNNNNNNNNNNNNNNNNNNNNNNNNNNNNNNNNNNNNNNNNNNNNNNNNNNNNNNNNNNNNNNNNNNNNNNNNNNNNNNNNNNNNNNNNNNNNNNNNNNNNNNNNNNNNNNNNNNNNNNNNNNNNNNNNNNNNNNNNNNNNNNNNNNNNNNNNNNNNNNNNNNNNNNNNNNNNNNNNNNNNNNNNNNNNNNNNNNNNNNNNNNNNNNNNNNNNNNNNNNNNNNNNNNNNNNNNNNNNNNNNNNNNNNNNNNNNNNNNNNNNNNNNNNNNNNNNNNNNNNNNNNNNNNNNNNNNNNNNNNNNNNNNNNNNNNNNNNNNNNNNNNNNNNNNNNNNNNNNNNNNNNNNNNNNNNNNNNNNNNNNNNNNNNNNNNNNNNNNNNNNNNNNNNNNNNNNNNNNNNNNNNNNNNNNNNNNNNNNNNNNNNNNNNNNNNNNNNNNNNNNNNNNNGCGAGCAUUCGCCAUGUUGGCCGCUUCCUCGCUCUAUGCUUCGUAGGCUGAUUGCUAGGCAGCAUGUGUCGCGUGCUCGGUGGGAAAACUGGGUUCACGGGUGUUCGGUGUCUCGCUAGUGGUUGCCACGCGACACAACGAAUCUGCCCUUAGGGUCUCUAGUGGAUCCAGGCCUUGGGCUGCCCAGCAACCCUAGGCACCCCCGGGUGGGCCCUCUGCAUCUCGGUGCUACUGGCACUUGGUAACUCUGGUCAUUUGCUAUGGUGGUGAUGUUGUGGGGGUGGUAAUGUUCAUGUUGACAUGGUCACCUCCCAAAUUAUGGGUUCCAUCGUCUCCAAAUAUAAAAACAACAUGUCGUGAGUCAUGUAGUUUUCAUGGAUGGCAUGUACAAACGUGUAUGUCAAAUAAAUGCCUCUCCCUAAUAUAGUGAUGGAUUUGUAGAGGCGCGAUAAUAAUUCUGGUUUGCUCCUGUGAUGGGUAACUUAGCACUCCAUGUAGGACGCGUCAUUUUUGCCUUCAACCCCACAAAGUAUUUUCAAAGUAUUUCAAGAAUACCACAGUAUCUUGAAAACCUAUGGUUUCAAAUACUUUGACGUGUUUGGCUCUAGUUAAAGUGGCAGUAUUGUAAACCACAGUAUGCACAAAACUGUGGUGUUUUUGCUAUAUUAAAAAAAAAGACCAGAACCUCUUUUCAAAAAACUGAGAAACACAGCAAAAGAUCUCUCAAGCGGCGAGUAAAUACAACACUAUAUACUUUGAUUGCCAAACACGGCACUAUCUUUCUUAGUAACACUUUAAAAAAUGAUGGUUUCAUAUACUAUGGUCUUCGCUGUCAUCGGCAUAGAAAACUGUAGUAUUCGAAUACUUAGGUUCUUCAAAAACUUCGCUUCCAAACGGCGUAAAAAACUGUAGUGACAUUUUGCAGCAAUGCAUGAGCAUGGUCUAAGAUAUUUAUUUAUUUAUUUAUUUAUUUAUUCGUCCACCAUAGCAAAUGACCGUUCCUUCCUCCGUCGCUGGUGGUGCGAUUUGGGUCAGUCAGCGCAAACGCUCAAACCAUUCCUGGAGUUCUUUUGACGGGCGUGCUCGCGCCGGCGAAUUGCCAUAGUGCGUUCGGACAUGGAGCUUCUUUGCUUUCUUCUUCCGUUGUUUCUUUCGUUUGGCAUGGCAUGACCAUUUCCAUCCUGGCGCACCGUUUCCGAAGGGAGGAAGGGUCGUGGCCGUGCUCCCACCCCCCGUGGAAACUCCUGCGAUGUUGAUUUGGUUCCAAAGUGGCGCCAGCGCGACUAAGAAUUAAGCAGGUACAGUAGGUGUGACCGUCACCGGUGCCGGCACACCCAGCACGACCGAGAUGAGAUCCUCGUCGCGUGAUGGAGCCCUGCCGCGGAUGCAAACUCGUCAGCUCGAUCGCCGUCGUCCAUUGGAAGGCAAGAGCGUGUGGUGCGGUGUGCUGGGUUUCAACGGCAGACCACGGCGAGGCAGACACAUCAAUGCAUGCAUCUGGUAGUGCCAGCCAAGGUCUUUCUCUGCUUGGCGUGUGAGUCAUUAUUCACCGGACGAUGACGAACCUCCCCGCCGAUCUUUCUUCAACCUGAUUGUUACGAUCAGGUGCUCGUCCAAUAUUUGGGCACAGCCUAGGGGACGGAGGAGUUGGCCAAGCCUUGUCGGUCUGGUCAAUGAAACAAAGUGGAGCUCGUGCUUGCUUCCAGGGACAUACAUACCUGAUUUUUGACAGAGGUUCGAGCUUUGCUAGCCACGCUUGCUCCUGAUUAGACAGGUCUGCUUGUCAACGAAAUUGAGUGUUUGCUGCUUUCUUCGCGGUCAGAAGAAUUGACAGAAGGCAGUUACAAUGAGGUGUGGAUGCACCAUUUUCUAAAAUGUGUGCUGUAGCAGUUGGUUAAUGUUGACUGCACCUUUCAACACCUUGAAAAGGGAGUAAGGGCAUCCCCAAGGAGGACCGUAAACCUCCCGUUUGGACCGUCGAAGCCAUCCAACACGGUUCUGUAUCGGUCCGUGGAGCGGUCAGGACGCGAUUUCUCCCGUAAAAUGGUGACAAAAGUGGGGAAAGUUUGCGGGAGAUCGGACACGCGAAACGUAUGAAUCCGACACCCCAGGCCCACCCAAAACCCUUCCCCGACCCCACCACUCAGGCCACCACACCACACCCCUGCCGAUAUUCUGCGUCUCCGUCACCUCUGGCGCUCCAGCAGGGCUCCCCUCCGCUUAUUCUCCGUCUCCGUUCAACUCCUGCCCUCCGACCGCACCGCCAGGUACCAACCUCUACCAUGCCCGACAACUGUUCGAUGAAUCGCCGGAACUGAACACAUUUGUCCCUUCUUCUUUUUAGCAAUGGAUUCCGAUUUGGAGUACAUAUACGAGCAAUAUGUUGAGUCGUCUGGCAGCUUCGUUGGACGAGGAGUACUCCGAUGAGACGGCGAUGAUGCAGGCGAUCCUUGAAGACACGCGUGCGGAGCAUGUUCUCAAUUUCAAGGGCUCGAACAAGGGUCAUCGAAUGCUCAACCGCAACAGGGCGCGCGGGCAUUUGAUACUGAUGGUCGACUACUUAUUUUUGCCGGCGUUUCGGAUGCGCAAGACUGUCUUCAAUCGUUUGUACCAUGGCGUUCGGUCCUACCAUGACUAUUUCAUCCUGACGAGGGACACCAUGAAAACGAUUGGCUUCUCUGGUUACCAGAAGUGCACAGCCGCACUCUGGAUGCUUGCAUAUGGCAUGGCCGCUGAUUCGUGGGACGAGUACCUACGGAUGUCAAAGAGCACAUGUGGAGAUGCCAUGGUCAGGUUUGCAACUGCCGUGAUCGAGGUGUUCGGACCUCAGUACCUGAGAAAACCAACUGUGGCAGACACGUAGAGGCUCCUGGCAAUUCAGAAGCAAGAGGGUGGCCAGGUUUGUUUGGAUCUUUUGACUGCAUGCAUUGGAAAUGGAAAAGCUGCCUGAAAGCUUUACAAGAGCAAUACAGGGUCAUGUUAAGAAGUCCACCAUCAUUCUUGAAGCAGUUGCAUCACAGGAUCUUUGGAUUUGGCACGCUUUCUUGGGCAUGCCCGAGUCUCACAAUGACAUCAAUGUGCUGCAACGAUCGUCGUUGUUUGCGAGGCUGACUGAAGGAAAAGCUCUUCCUUGUCACUAUACUGUUAAUGGACAUGAGUACAACAUGGGUUACUAUCUAGUUGACUGUAUCUAUCCUCCAUAGGAUACCUUUGUCAGCACCAUCUAAAAACCAGUUGGACAAAAAAAGGCUCACUUUGCCCAAAGACAAGAAGCGGCUAGAAAGGAUGUUGAGAGGGCAUUUGGAGCUCCGCAUGCCCGUUUUGCAGUUGUUCGUGGACCUGCUAAACAAUGGGAUCCAAAAAUCUUGUGGGAGGUGAUGACAUGUUGUGUGAUCAUGCACAACAUGGUCGUCGAGGAUGAGGGUGACGAUGUUGCUGCAACUCUGGAAUUUGAAAACACGGGUGAUCCUAUUCAACUUCUAGAUCAGAAUCCGGCCACAUUUAAGAAGUUUAUUCAAAUGCAUCAACAAAUUCGGCAUCGACCAACUCACAAGUAGCUGAAGAAAGGUCUGAUUGAGCAUCAAUUGGCAAUGAAAAGGGACACCAAUAUUGGGAUGUAAUAUUUGAUUUUAAAAAAAAUUGAACUAGUGUUGCAUGUGACUAUUUGAACAUCUGUACACUUUGCAUGUGGCUACUUUCAUGCAGACUAGGAAAAAACCGGAAGGCCAAAUGUAUGCGGCUAUAAUUGGAUGGUGUCCUCCCGCAUUCGUGUUUGUGGACUGUUUCCCCCUCCGUGGACAAAUGUGGGAGGAUUUUUACAAGUUGCCAUUAAAGAUGCCCUAACAUCAUCUCUCUGAAUCCCCGCAAAAAAAGUUGCCGCGGAACCGGGAACACAAACAGGGCUUGCCGUUAUCAACGACAACAAAGUCUUUCAGUCUGAAACAAGUUGAAACCCAUAAGAUCUCAAAAACAAGCCAUGGUUCUAGCACAUGAAUAGCUAACUUCCACACACCCCUCUUCAUGGCUAAUUCUUUGGUGAUAUUUCAGUCCUUCAGAUCCCUCUUUACACAUCUACAAUCAAGAACCAGACCAGCCCUCUUAACGGAUCUAAAAUCAAGAACCAGAACAAUACAAGUCCACAGCUGAGAAUUCAUGAACAAUAACGUAAUUCAAAGGGCCAGACAAAACUUGCACACACUUUCUCCAGUACGUUACAUCUCCUUUCUUUGUACAUUGUCACCUAGUUGUACAACCCAAGACAACACACGCUCGCUAACACUCUCCUCUCCACAUGCUAACCAAAAAAAGAGAAGGAAUACAUAAUCACACAAAGAACCAAAGCCAGGAAACUCCCCAAUACAAGGGAAUCGUUUGCUUAUAUACUAUACACAAACCUACACAAACAAACGGGACCCCCCAAAAAUCCCACACCCUACCAAACAAAUGUCCAUAUAAAACAGAAGAAUGUUACAUCUCAUUGGUUAGCGCUGUCGAUCGCCGUGCCGGACCUUGCCUGCGAAAUCCGGUUGGCGUAGAUGGUCACCAAGCGCAGCUGCGUGCUGCUCAGCCCUUCCAGGUACGGGACGAAUGCUUUCCCGAGCAUGAUGUAGAUAUCCACCAAGCAGAAUACAACACUCUAAAAAAUGCGUAGGUAGUAUCAGUUAUGAAUUCAUGCACAAGAAAAAUUCAUUCCAAGCACAUGCAAUUCCCAUGCCAGUCAGCAACUGCAGUCUGCAUCUACUGGCAGUUUUAUAACAAUCAUAAAUAAAAUAGAAAGGAAUUCCGCCAUGAUAAUAUCUGCACUAGAUUAGUACCCACCUUUCGAACAUCUGGACUUUGGUUACUAAAAGCAUCAAACAGUGCUGGCAAAAAUGUAGGCAGUUGAUCCAUCAAUUCCUCUUGGGAAAGGUGCGCGACAAGCUGCAGAGAUUAUCACAAGAAAGUUAACAGUCAAAACUGGUUGCUCAACAUAUUAGAUAUGUUUGGUUUAUGUAUGUUCCUAAUAGGCCAGAACUACUCUACAACAAAACGAAGAAUUUAAGUAGAUUUUCACACAUGAUGCAUAUAUAAUGAGAAAUGAAACGCACUACAGCUGCCUGCCUAGGGUAGCAAGGGUCUAUGUUCUUUUAGAACACUGUAUAUGAGAUACCUUUGUCAAAUAGUUGAUACACACAACGAGUAUCUUUUCAUCAUCACUGACCAAAAGAGGUACUACAACCUGCAGCAGAACCAAUGACCAUGAAGAAGUAAAGUUAAAUACACCAAGCAGAAACAAAAGUAACGGUGAUACAUAAAGAGAAAUGAUUUGUGCAUACAGCAAGAGAUCUGAAAGGAUCGUAUUUUGCCAACAAAACAUUUAUGCAUCGGUUCGCUUCAUUUGAAAUCUGCAUGCCCAGAAAGAAUAUUAAGUUACUAAAACACCAAAGCUGAACAAAGAACAGAUCUAAUGGUGUUAUAGUGAGGAAAAUAAAGGCAGGUAUACCUUUGCCACCACAUCUUUCGUCACAUGCAGAAGUUUUUCAAGAACAAUCUCAAUAGAUUCUUCCAUAGCGUCUUUCUGAGAGCAAAAUAAGCAUUAUUACUAUCAAGAAAUGAAGCGGCAAUUAAUUAAACUAAUCUUAAUGUGCAAAGGCAUGGAUAGUGGACCUGAUUGUUGAGCAUCUCAGCAAUUAAAGACAAAGCAAUCUCCCUAGUAGAUGGAUCGGAGUCACCCAGCACGUCAAGUACGGUCGUUAAUAUUUGAUUGAAAUACUGUUGGAAAAUUGAAAGGCUGGAAUUAGAAUGCAAAUAGUUUGAAACCUCUCGGCUCUAGCUUAGUAUAUAUUCCAUUUUAACUUUACACCUCUGGUAACACAGCUAGUAAUGAAAUAAUGAUUUCACAUAUUUAUGCAACGAAAAAAGGGAAAUAUACAAGAAAAGGUAACAUAACAUGCUGCUGUGGCAUUUGUAUAUGCAAAACUACAAAUGCCGCUGUGCAUUAAAAUAAGUUGAAAUGCAACCCUGCUUUUCAAAUACCCAUUAUUCUUUUGCUGAGAAAUAGAAAAAAUAAACUAAACUAUUGUAAAAUUAAGCACUUAAGGUAUAUUUUGUAAGGAAAUCAGGUUGCAAACCUUUGACCAAACGGAGCUGUCAUUACCAAGCGAAGCCUUAAUCAAGUGUUGUAAUGCUUCGUGCUUUUCCAAACUUGAUAUUUCUGUGUCGGUGCUUAUCUACAAAGUGAGAAAAAUAAAUUAAAAUGCUUCACAAAGAUUUAGAAAAGAAAAAGACACAGCAGUACACACAAUCAAGUAAAAGGAUUUUUCAUCAGUACCUGAUGAAGAAGUUGUGGUAUGCUCAAGCCGUUGUCAGCAUGUAUGCUGGUCUUUAUAGAACUAAGGUUUACAACCAUAUCUGUCUCCUGAACAUCUUUUCCUGUAGUUGAACCAACAGCAUUAUGCCCAUCAGGGCUGUGCAGUUGGCUGAAAUCCAAGCGCGGAGUGCUCAUAGCGGUUUCACCAUCUAAGGAGGCAUCGGUUUUUUCAGGGUAGUUUGUCCAAGAACGAUUAUCUUCCACAGCUGAGCUAAAAUUAUUCUUUGAUUCUCUACUUCUAUUUAAAAAUACUUCAGUUCCUGAGGCCGGUUCCAGGCUUUGAUUAGUACCGGCACUCAUAUCCGAAGUUGUUCGGGCCAUAGAGACAUUAUGUAAUGUUGGUUCAUGCACUGUAGUGGUCUUCUUUCCCACUUCGGCGUCAAGGGAACUAGAAGAAUACCGCCCAAAAGGAUAGCUCUUCUUCAAUGUCUGUGCAUAACCAUCUUCGGAAGAAGUUCCAAAGUCUGCCUGGUCAUAAGAUUUAGGGCGUGGCCGUUCUUUCUUGCUCUGCAAGUAGUUCACCAGAUCAACCUCAAUACGAGGUGUUUUUUGCUUCAGGGCACGCCUCAAUAGGUUUUGCUCUUCAACUGAUAAACUUAAAAUAAAAUUUAACACUGCCGUUGAGUCAAACUGAGAAUACACAGAUAUGAUACCAGCAAUAGAUGCCUCCUUCAGUUUUGCAUUCUUUUCAUUCACUAACGGUGCCAAUUUUGAAAGCCAUAGCUUAAGGAAGCCACUGUUACUAUAACCUUCAGAAUCUACCGUGUAAUUACUGAACGAUCUGUUUGCAAAUUCAAUAACAGCCAGCUUUGCCUUUGGUGACCUCUGUUCAUCUAGUGAGCGUACUAGGGCAGGUAGCAACAUAUCGAUUGCAUAUAAUCGACCAACAAUCUCCAAAGUCAAAGAACAUGGUUUUUUUACCAACUCUUUUGGAUCAAUAAGGCGGGAAAAGACAUGUGGCAAAAUUCUUUCGACAUAACUCUCAAAUGGCUUCUUGCAAGCAGGAAUAAUCUCUGCAAGCGUAGAAAAAGCGGCUUGUGCAACCUUAUGAUGAGGAUCAUCCAGAUGGCGGAAAAAUAGCUUCAUGACCUUUUCAAAAUUCUGAAUAAUUUCUUGAGUACCUCUCUGACCUUGUUGCACUAUAUUCCGAAUAAAAUCAAAAGCAGAGACUCUUGCUACCCAGUCAGAACUAGGAUUGAGACCCUCAGAAAGUGCAUCGUGUAGAGUAGCCAGAGUAUCUGUAUAUCUAGAUACAUCAUUGGAAGGUACUUGACUAUCAUCAAAUCUGUCCCGGCUACUUGCAGAAGGCCUUGACAUUACUUGCUUUCUUAGAAGAGGUCUCUGGAAAUUCGGGACAUUGUUGUUAUGUGAAUCUCUGUGAGCAGCACCAUCCCUAUAAGGCAUAUCAAUAUAGUUUUUUUCUGUGUGCAUUUGAGGAAACCGCCUGGUUGACCGCAGAUCAUUACUCUCAUCCAUUCCGUCUUGAAGCCUCUCUGAAGAUCUUCUUACAUAAGGCAGUGAUAAGCCCGUCAUGGACUCGGAUGAUAGAUUACUCAAAUAUGGUGACCUCGAUCGCUCUUUGGUGGCCAACUGUGUCGUCAUUGUAUCCAAUGCGCGGGAACCUCCAUUUCGUGUACUAGAACUUUUGAUGCUAGGAAUGGUUGAAUCCAAGAACGCUGAGUUCUGCAGAGAUAGAUGAUUUGAAGCUGGUGCUGCAAGAGGAACAGGAGGAUCACGAGAUGAUGGAGCAUCAACCCCUGCACUAGGAUUAAAAAAUAAUAAGAAACUAGAAUUCUAACGAUCAGUGGAGAAAGUAGAAACGAUAAUUUUGUCAGGUGAUUUCUAAGGAAUACACUAUUAAAAGCAUUCGAAUUCUUCAAAGAAAGGUAUAUGCGGAUUAAAGAAUACCAAGGUCCAAGCUUGUUGAGCGUGCAACUGAGAAAUUUUGCCUAUCUGAUAUGCUAACACCUUUCAGCAAACUUUCAAUAGCAGAAACCUUUUCUUUGCUUGAACUGAGCACACUUUCUAGGCUUCUAUCAGAAACGCUGCUGGUUGUCUUUGACUGUGAUAAACGAAGAUUGUUUGAUGGCAGAGAUGAAUCUGAAGAAAUAGCUGCACUCUUGUCCAUUGCAACAAUAGCUGAAGUGCCAUAUCCAGGCAUAUGAGUGCCACUUGCAUGAGAUGAAGUGCGAGAAGGCUGCAGAACCUUCUCACGAAGUGAGGGAGAAGCAUAACGUUUGUGCACACCAUCCUCAUCAUUUAUUGUCUGCAACAGUUGCCAAUUGUACAUUAGAAUUUAGGCUGUGUUACAGCUACAAAAAAAGUAAGAUCUGAAGAAACACAAAGAGAAAAGCAGCAUGUCGUACCCUCUGUAUGGCAGGAUCAAAUUGCAUAAAAAGACGGCGAGAGCGCUCAGGCCAUGUUUUCGUGAACAUUCUGUAGCAAGUUCUUGCAGUUGAACGGACCUAGUUGCAGAAACAGCAUGGAACACAAAAAUAAUCAGAAUGAAUGUGGACAGAGCCGCAAUGGUCCCAGCAUACCAGCAGGCAGCGGCACAGAGAUCAGAGAUGAGAUAACUCAAGAACCUUCUAGUUUUAACAAUUAUGCCCAUCAAUAAGCAGGUAUAUCAUCAUAUACUACCAAUAGAAUGCAUGAACUCAGAAUAUGGACUUGUCAUUUGCUACAUUAUUGUCUCCUGAACUUUUUUUGGGUGGCAUGCAAGGGUAAGCAGAGAAAAAAGGCACCGGUUCCGUAUGAAGUAGAAUCCCUCAUAAUUUUAUUGGUUCCUCAGAAACAGAUUGCUUAUUACUCUAUACACAUUAUGAACAGAAAGCAACCUAUAUUCUUCAUUAUUAUGCCAAACAAGCUACCGUAUUUCCAAAUGGAUACAUUGUUUCAUGAGUAUAUCUGCAAACAGAACGCAAACCAGCACUACAUAGAUUCUGUCUGGGCAAUAUCAUAUUGAUGCCUCUCCAGUCAUGUAGACAGCCAGUUGGGGAUAGGUUGAAAUGUAAGGCUGAGUCAGGGUCCUAGUGGGUAUCAUUGCAGCAUUGCUGCUUGAGUAACAAGUUUUGCUGUUUCGCUCUGGUGUGCUGCAAAUAAUUAACAUUCCGCUUGGUUUGAUUUCAACAGAAUGGAACUAUGACUGGACUCUUCAAUUCUACAAAGUACAAACACUAGCAUACGACACACAGAGAAGUUGUUGUGUGUCUGAUAGUGCGACAUAUUGAAUAAUUUAUUUAACUACCUGAUUUGAAAUGAAAAUGAACACACUAUAUGCACCAUAGGUCAGCGAACAGAUCAUACCUCACUCAUAGCAUCUGCUACACAGCACUUUAUUAGAUCUUCAUAUAAAUCAGCUGAUCGUUGUAUUUCCGGGGCAUCAGCCCAAUAUUCCAAUAUUAGAAGUGCGUAUUCGCAGCACCUGGUACAGUAAAAUGUAAGCUUGAGUAGCUUGAAGAAACAUGUACACUGGACGGUGUCAACAUGCAUACCUAGCACGGAGAAUUGCGCUUCGGUCAUUCUUGGCUGUGUCAGCUACACGAGGAAGAAUUCGUGCAACCUUGCAGUUUCGCAGGAUCUGCAAGAUGUCCCAUAUCAGCAAAGAGACUAAACAAAUGGCAUCCAUGAAGUGCAAAUAUAUUGAAAUAAAAUUUCCUCACAGUUUUUAUGCAGGUGUCUGAAGAUUCAGCGAUGACAAGCACAGUUAUAACAACAAGCUUAAAAAGCAUCUGGAAAUUUCACAAAUAUUUUAGAUUUCUUAAAACAAUAUAGCAAAACAGAAGGAAAAAACUGUUUGCAUCAUUUACCGGAAUAAAUUGUUCAGCACAUGGCUCAAAGUCACCAAGGAGUUCUUUGGACAGCACAUUAAGUAAAUGGCAUGCCUGGGCAUAAAAAACAUGACAGGAAGUAAGUUUUCAAUUUGAGCACAUUCAUCUGAUCAAGUAUUCAACUCGUUUGACAGCAAGAAAAUAGAGGGAAAGACAAGCGUUGGAGAUAAUCAAUUUGAUACUUAUCAAAAUAGGUUUCUUGAUAAAAGAUGCUUAUCAAAAGAAGAGAAAUGGGUGGAUACCUGUUUUACAAUGGUAGACCGUCGAUCAGCUAGCUGAGUAGACAAUGGAGGAAUCAGCUGCUUCAAGAGUGUCAGAAACGAUGGGUAAUCAAUAGCUCCUGGAGAAACAUAAAUAGAACAUUUUAAAGCUAAGCAUAGAACAUCAAAUUAUCGAGUAAUUUAUCAACAUAAAUGCUAAGAAUGUUGACGGACUAAUUCUCAAAUAACCCCAUAUUAUAUUAUUAUGUGUAACUGGACUGUGAUAAUAUUUUCCCUUUUGAGUCCAAAUGAUGAAGGCCUUGCAAAACAGUAAGGUAUGUCAUCAAAACUGCAGGUUGCACCAUUGCUCUGUUCUUUGAGCCAAUAUUACUACACAAUAGGAUGUUUAUAAUAAAAGAUGUUCAUUUUUAUAAAAGAUGGACCUUCUGUUUAUUUCACUUCACUGCAUACUUCAAAAGCUCACUUAUCGGCAAAUAAAGGGGAAAUGUUUCCGUCCUAGUCAUCAGUCCUAGUAAUGAGGGUCCCUUUCUGGUUAGACAAAAUAUUAGUUGGCUGUGGGAUCAAAGACGUACUGCAAAAUGUAUGCUACAGAUGUUUUUUUUUCUUUGCUAAUGGCUACAGAGGUAAUUAACGCCGAGCAUAAUUGCAUAAAGCUUUGUUAAGAAAAAUAGGUAUAGAUGUGGACAUACCUCCAUAAACCAGUGCUUCAAUCCUUUGCAUGGCAGCAAUACGAACUGACCAGUCCUUUUCUGGAACAAGAGUAGCUGCAAUCUUCUCAAACUCCCGAAGUAAUUCUUUCUCUGAGUGGACUCUUACUGGUUCCACUGGUUUUUCAGUUAUAUCAGUGUCACCUGUAAAACAUCAAAUUACUGUAGAGAAACAUGUUGUCCAUGUGGCAGGGGCAAUAACCAUAAAAACAUUGACUUGUCAGAAAAUGAAAUUUUCUGUUAAGUCUAAUAGAUUACAGGCUGAAAAAGAAGUUUCAGGGAACAUAGCUCAACUAAAGGCUUCUGGAUUAUACACUGAGCAAAAGUAAGAAGAAAAUAAAUAAAGAAACAAAUAUAGCAGUACUUCACCUGGAUAAAAAAAUGAUGCAUCUCAAAACAUGAAAUGGACUUCAAAUGUUGUACUAUUAAAGUAUUAAUGAUUACUUUCAGAUAAUGAAUUCAAAGACAUUUUGUGCAUAUUAUCACUGCAUUUUGAAAUUAAGAAUAUAUCAUAUGUUUUCACAGUAAUUAUAUGAACGAAUUCUCGAACUUGCACGCCCUGGUCACUAUGGUCCACAAAUUCUGAAACCACAGAUUCACCACCUAAAUUUGUUAACAGGGUACACGGGUAGUUCUCAGAUCUGGUUUUGCUAGCUCUGGCCACUUAUGUGGCAUGUUGACAGGGCACAAUGUGUCAUCCAUGGUUUUCGAGUCGCGACUCAUCGGAGUCGCUCUGAGUCGCUCUGGGGUAGCGACUCGGAAAAAGUCGAGCCUACGGUUGCGACUAGUCGCGACUCCCGACUCGAGUCGACACUAAGUUGAGUCGACAUUUUUUUGCGACUCAUCGACUAGUCGACGACUAGUCGCGCGACUCAAAAUCCAUGGUGUCAUCUAAUCAGCAGGACCACUCUCAGCCGUGGUGCGCACGGAUCUGGUCUGGGCACACACACCGAGUAAGAUCUUUGUCAGCCCCAAGCCUCUAACGGUGACUUUGAUCUCGUCAUCUCAUUCCCUGUGGUCAGUUCUUUCCCGACUAUCACUGAACCUUGACUCUGGUCAGGGGUGGCCCAAGAACUCAGGGCACGGCUCCAUGCCCAUGUGGGAUGAGUGGCAGCAAGGAGAGUGGUGAAGCCGACAGUGACGGGAAGAAAAUGGGAGAAAAGGAACAGGAAGAAGAUAGGGUGUCCGGCAUGUGGGCACUCCUUACUGGAUGACACCACGCAAGCACUUAAAUCAUGCAAGAUCUCAUUAGGAUCUCUGGAGAGCCACUUUAACAUACUUAGAGCAAGUGAAUAGGUGGUUCCAAUGUUUAUUGACAUAUGUGGUGGGGACAUGAAUUGACUGGGUGCAAUUCCCGUAUACGUAACUCAAAAGCUGGACUUCAGUUUUAAUUUGCUGACAAAAUACAGACUAUAGAACUACAGCACACGAUCAGCUACAGUGCUGAUUGUUUUGGUUUUGAAAGUGAAUCCUCUUCAUGUGUAAGUCCAUCCUAUUAUCAUGAGCUGGUUAGGAGCAUUCAGGCAUUCGCAAAUGUUCACCCAUAUAAACAUGGAAAAAGGACAUCUCUUGGUGCCUAAACAGUACCUAGACUGACAAAUUGCAGUUAUAGAUCGUCUUGGCUUGCAACUAUAGUUGAAUGCAAACACAUAUAUUUGAAUGAUCAUGUGUGAACUUCUGACAAAAAUAUAGAGCUUACCUCCAAAUAAUGUGCUUUCCCUCGGUGUGCUUUUUGUCCGUGGGCUGCCUCUUUUUGGGUUAACACUAACGGAUCUAGAUGCUGCAACUUUAUGCUGUGUUGCAGUACCAUCAGAUGCGGGAACCUUUGGUUCAAUUCUAUUCAAUCUUGAAUUUAUUUCUUUUAGCUGCAGAUAUCGGACAAUACAUGAAUUAGGAUAAUCCAGGUUUACUGCUUUGCGGACCUUUAAAAAUGGACACGUAAAGUUCAAUCAUAUAAAGUAGUACCAGAUACUAGUCCAAAAUACACAGAUGUACUAAGAGUGAGACACUAGUAUCAAGUGGAUUUCUAGCAAGCAAAGGGCAACUGCCAAAAACAACUAGAUAGCCAAAUACACUACCAUGUAUGUAGGCAGAUUAUGGCGCUGCAACUCUUCGUGGAACUGAGAUCCCAUGUUCUUGUACAUUUCCUGUGAUCGAAAAAAGUGACAAGUGAUAUUAGGAUUGCCGUAUAAUUUUUACAUAGCCUGGAUAGCGGGUACAGGCUGCAAUUAGUUAGUAUGGACAGUUGCUACUAAUUACACCAAUAGUUUGAAAGCAUGGGAUAAACUACUUUUAAAACACACAAAAACAGAUAAAACUGAGGGCAAGGGAGUAGUGAAAAGCAACUAGAAGCAAAGGGCAUUGGGACUACAUUGAUUGUUUGAGUAUUUUUGUAGGAAAGGUUCAGCCUAUCCAACUCGCAGAGUGGGACAGAACUAUUGCAAAAUUGAGUAAGACGAAUGUUGGGCAUCCGAAAGCGCAAAAUGGGAAGGAAUAUAAGUGGACAAAAGAUGAAAAGCAUCAUCUGAAGCAGGUAAAAAUGGUAUGAAACCAGCUAACCUCAAUACAAGAUAUAGCAGCUUCUCUGACACUUUGGUUCGAAUCAUUCAUCAACUGUAGGACCUGUGAAGCCAGAUAGUCUCAGCAUAUCUAUCUAUUGAGUAAACAUAAAGUCUGAGAUAUGCACAAAAAUGUACGGUAACAAAUCGACUUGAAUACUAGACUCACGGGUGAGAGUAAAACUCGUUGCAUGAGAAGCUCCGUAGAAGCGAAAAGCCCAACUGCAGUUGCCACUGUAAGUACAAACUCUUCCCGAACCCUCCAACUCUUAUGAGUCCAUGCAUAAUUUCCGGCCCUUUCGAGAAUGAUUGUUGGUGAAGAAACCUGAGAUAUGGAUGAAAUCAGAAGGCUACCUAGUAAUAAAUCUAAAACAUUGAGAACAAGGCGAGCAUGUUUGGCUUCAUUUGUUGAUAUUCAUUGGGCAGAAGUCUACAUGUAAAAGUAAUGGUAACAUAGUACUAGUAACAAACAGCAUUGACAAAGGAGAAAAGAUAACGCGUAUUUUGAUAUUUAUGCUCUAUAAAAAUCAAAGCAUUAAGAAAGAAUUAUGUAAUUUACAACAACUAGGCAUAUUAUAGAUUUCAUUUCAACACCUGAAAAGAGCAAUCUUUACAUGUGAACUAACAGCAUAUUUGAGGGUAAAUGGUUCUUAAAACAGUCGAGCAAAAACCAAACUGCAUAUGAGAAGUUUGAAUCUUCGUUUGAUACCCACCCACAUUUUACCGUUUGUACAAACCAAACUUGACCCAAAACUAAGAAAGCUAAUCCCUUGAUUAUUGAAGUUUGAAACGGCUUUGUAGCUCAAUAGCACAUCAUCACACAAAACCUAAAACAAAUUCAUGCUGAUAGAUAAUUGGACCAAAUUUAAAACUCCAGCUAAGUUCCAAAGCAACCACAUUCCCCCCUAAUAUAACAGAUUAAAGAAACAACAAGUGGGAUCAUCACGACCGAAAGGGCGGACGACUCACCUCCAUGAGCGUGACGAGGAGCUGGCGCGCGGCCUCGCGGACGGGCUGCUUGCCGUCGCCGAGGCGCUCGACGGCGGCGGGGACGAGCGCGUUGAGGUGGAUCUUGAAGUGGUCCCCGGCGAGCACGGCGGCGGCGGAGAGCGCCUGCAGCCCCCCCUGCGCGACGCGGAAGUUGGCGUCCCGCGUCAGAUCCACGCAGGUGUCCACCAGAGAGGUGACCUCGGCCGGGGAGAGGCCGCGGCGCGCCGCCGCGUCGAGCGCCUCGUGCAGGCGCUCCACCCCGGCCAGGCGCUCCUUGGUGUCCUUGGCGCGCGCCGCCUCCAGCGCCGCCUCCAUUCCGGCGCGCGGGCCCCGGAGAGUCCGCCGUGUGGCAGUACGGUUGCGUGGAGGGGGGGCCGGCGGCGAGGCGAGGGGGGUGGUCGGAUCUGGGGACGGAGGCGAGGGGAGGGGGAGGGGAGUGUGAGAGCGUACACGGAUGCUGAGAGGUAGGGUGGUUGGGGCUUUAGGUGGGUUUGUGCAAUGACACCCCUGGCUAGUUGCGACAUUUCACGCUUAUGCCCUCCAUUUGGAUACAUAGAGGCUACAGUAUGAAACGGGGGUCGUUUCUUUCUUGAAAAGCGUGCCAUGAACUGGAGUCCGGGAAAGCGGAGCACGUUACCGAAUUUUGGGUGGGGUGUGGGAUUUGAACUAAAACAACGUCACUUGGAAAACAGGUGGAAUUCCUGGGAUCGAAAAGUGACUUUGAAAAUCAGGGGCCAAAGACGACGACAUAGCAUAACGUCGCCGUCCAUGCCAAAACGUCGUUCCGUACGUACAGUCAAGUCGUUGCCCCCCGUGAUUAACUGAGAGUUAGCAGAGAGCAAAAGCGUCGUUUUUCAACUCAAGUGUGGCCAUCACGUAGACUACAAUACAUAGGACUCCACAUGGAUGGUAUAUAUAUUAUCCUCCCUCCGUUUCUAAAUAUAGGCCUUUCUAGAGUUUUAAAAUGGACUAGCACAUAUGAAUGUAUAUAGACAUAUUUUAGAGUGUAGAUUCACUCAUUUUGUUUCUUAUGUAGUCACUUAUUGAAAUGUCUAGACAGACAAAUAUUAGAGAAGGGAAGGAGUACAUGUUAGGGAGUAUGAGACGCUAUAUUAGAGAGCAUUAUUGUACCAAACACAAGGAAACAAAAACAUGUCUCGUUUGAGAUAGAUAUAUAUGGUCCACGCGGAGCUAGCUCGGUGGGAUGCUUGAUGUACGUAUGGUAAUGCAUGGCAACUACUCGCACCAACUAGCAGCAGUACGUGUGUGUGAUGUUACACCUGAACUAAUCAUCCUCCGCCUUAAACUCCCUUGCGUCCUUGUCUCUUACCAGCGGAAAUGUUAUGUUACGUACGUGGACCAUGCGAUCGAGCUGCAGGGAGGGCGGCUAUCAUUGUCAGUCGGAUCCCGGAUGGCUGCGUUGCUUUGAUGCAUGCAGGUGAUCCACCACGCUGUUUAAUUAAUUAUUAAGUGUCGUAUGUGCAAACGAACGAACCCUACUAGUAGGUUACCUCUGCACUCCACGCCUGGUACACAGAUAUUGGGUGAAUGAUGUGAUCGUGCACGUUACAAGUGCAUUCCAGUCUAGGAAUGUAACGGCAUGCUAGUAUAAUUAGGGAGCAGUAUGUCAAGUACUCCCUCCGUUCCAAAAUAGAUGACCCAACUUUAUAUUAAAAUUAGUAUAAAGUUGGAUCAUCUAUUUUGGAACGGAGAGAGUAGUAGUUUGCUUGAUUUGCAGUCUCGUCUCAU